rnacentral:lncRNA from 1 species
GUACUAUUUCGGAGCAAAAUUUGUGAUCGGCCUUCCGUUAGUAAUUGUAUUUCUGGUGAUCAAAUUCAAAAGAAGGCAUUUGUCCAUGUAUGAUACUAUUGAAGGCUUUUUGCGAACACAAAAUAAUUUCAAGCCAAUCAGAUAUAAUUACUCCCACGUAAAGAGAAUGACCAGAGGGUACAAAGAGAAAUUAGGUGAGGGAGGUUACGGCAGUGUAUACAAAGGAAAGCUUCAAAGUGGAAGAGAUGUAGCAGUGAAGAUGCUGAACAAGCCUAAAGCAGGUGGUCAAGACUUCAUGAAUGAAGUAGCUACCAUUGGAAGGAUCCAUCAUGUCAAUGUGGUUGGACUCGUGGGGUAUUGUGUUGAGGGAACAAAGCGUGCUCUUGUUUACGAUUUCAUGCCCAAUGGAUCACUCGACAAGUAUAUCAGCACUAGUCAAGAAGGAAGUCCUCUGUUAAGUUGGCAGAGGAAGUAUGACAUUAUUCUUGGAGUGGCUCGUGGAAUUGGGUAUUUGCAUCGAGGCUGUGAUGUACGGAUUUUGCAUUUUGACAUCAAUCCCCAUUUUGACAUCAAGCCACACAACAUUCUUUUGGAUGAGAAUUUCAUUCCAAAGAUUUCUGACUUUGGGCUUGCAAAAUUAUAUCCAACAGAUAAUAGCAUUGUGAAUCUCACAGCUGCUCGCGGAACGAUUGGCUAUGUAGCUCCAGAAUUGAUCAGCAGAAGCAUUGGAGCAAUCUCUUACAAAGCUGAUGUUUACAGCUUUGGAAUGCUGCUAAUGGAAAUGCUGGACUUGAAUAGACAUGAAGUUGCAAAUGAAGAGAAUUCCAGCCAAUAUUUUCCUUAUUAUAUUUACGAUAAGUUCAACAAGGGGAAGGAGAUCCUGGUGGAUGAAGAAGCAAAUGAUGAUGAAAAGAAGAUGGCUAGAAAGCUGAGUUUAGUUGCAUUAUGGUGCAUACAAACAAAUCCAAUACAGCGCCCUUUGAUGAGUAAAGUAUUAGAAAUGCUUGAAGGUGAAGUUGAAGUGCUAGAAGUACCUCCUCAGCCUAUUCAAUCUCAACCGAUUGUUCAUCAGAUGAUGGGAAGUUCUAUGACUUUUUCGUCUGAUUCAAUGGCUUUGUUAGAAAAUUCUGUCAAAGUAGACAUUUGUUCUGAUUGAUUAUAGUUUUGUAUUGUUCAUUUAAAAUGACAUAUAUACGAGAAGGGAUUCACAUUUUACGAAGGGUCAGGUCUGAGUUGGUCCGUCUCAUUCACUGCGUUCACGCUGAACAAAUACACAUGGACAUAAUUAAAAGUUAUUUUCAACCUUAAGACUUCAUCACUCGAUUUUGGGGAUUGGGAUUAUAGUUUGGGGUUAUUUUAAUGGGGUUUUGUUGGAUUUCUUCGUGAAGCAUAUAUCUAACCUUUUAAUUAAGCUUUUCUCGCGAUUCUUAUCAUCAAAUUAGUGAUUUAAAUAGUGUUUUAAAUUGGGGAUUUGGGGAUUUUACCCCAAAGUGAGAUUGAUGUGAUUCUUUCUAAGAAUAUCAAAUUUAGUUCAUGAAAUAUAAAUCACAUAAUUGGUCCAAACUUUGCACUUGCAUUAAGAAAUUAUUAGCAUAUAGGACUUAAAAAUGGACAUUUUUUUUUUAUAGUUUAUAAAAUUUUAAGGAAAAUAUUUCAGUCUUUUAAAUUAGUAAAAGGCCAAAAAAUAAAAUAAAUAUUGAGGCAUAAUUUUUUUGGAAGAAUAACUUAAUUCGUAUAAUUAUUUUAAUAAAACUAUAAGAAAAAUGUUAAAAUAAUUGAUAAAAAUAAAUAAAUAUCAAUGCUAGAUUAGAAAAGGUGUCACAUUACAUUUUUAUUUUAGCUAUUAUUAAAUAUAAAUAACUUAUUUCUUUUAAUAAAUAAAUAAUUAAAAAGUUAUUUAAGGAAAUGAUAUAAAUAAUAUUAGUUAUGAAAUUAAGGGAAGAAAGUAAAAGAAGAUAAUAGCAUUGAUGAUGAAAUCAUUCAAAUAUGAUCAUCUUUUCUUUUAAAAUUAGAAAAAAAUGCCCAAAAAAACUAUCAAAAUAUAAUUAGAAUUUCAAUCAUAGUGUAUAUAAAAUAAACUUUAAUUAAAGACACAUAAAAAAUAUUAAGACAAAAUAAAUGAAGAAAAGAAGUAAUAGAAUAAUUAAGUUUGAAAGAAAUAAUAUCAAGGAAAGGAAUUAAUAGAAUAAUUAAGUUGAAAGAAAUAAUAUCAACAUUUAUUUCGUUUCCUUUCAAAUCACAAAACAUAUUUUUUACAUAUUCUUCUCCUAAUUUGAUAUGAAUUCCAUAAAUAGAUGGAUUCUUUCUCCAAAUAAUUGUCUUACCCUUUGAUACAUUAAUCACUCUUCUUAUAAAUUUUUCAACAAAAUUAAUCUUUUCUCUCAAUAUAACAUUUCUCCUACCAAUAUCUUUGGAAGCAUCAUAAUGUACUUCUUUCUUUCUCUUUUGUUAAAGAAAUCCCAAGGCCUAGAAAUUUGAUGUCCGUAUAUUCUUCUUUACCAAAGUAGUUUUUUUCUCUGAAUAUAACAUUUCUCCUAUCAAUAUAUUCGGAAGCAUCAUGAUGUUCUUCUUUCUUUCUCUUUUGUUAAAGAAAUCUCAAAGCCUAAAAAUUUGAUGUCCGUAUAUACUUAAAUAUGUUUAUUUUAUAGGCUAAAUGAUAUAAACAGCUAUGAAAAAUGAAAAGUUUUUGGUCUUUUCUUGUUCCAUUUACUUAAAUGUAUAUUAUUUUGAGGGAAGUUUUAAAGAAUAUAAUUAAUUGGGUAGUUCAUUCAAAUGCUUUCAGUUAUUUUUAAAAUACAAAUAAAAAUUAGAAAACAAAUAUAAAACUUCAAAAAAAGGAGAUAAAAGAUAAAUAGAAAUGCUAGCCAUAGAGAGGUGCCUCAUCAGAUUGUCUAUAUUCAGCUUUAUAUAUAUAUAUAACUUGAUCAUUGAGCAUAAUUUAAUGGAAUACAUAAGAUCAUUCAUUAUCAAUUAAGUUAGGUAACUAUAGAAAAUCAAAAGUUUUAUUGUUGGAGACGAAAAGACUUAAAACUAUGAUACAAUAACAUUUACAAUAUGAUAUGUUACACUUUCCUCUAAUGCUUCCCCUAAUGGAGAGAGUUGUACAUAUUCUUGGUUUAUGAAUUCAUUUAUAUAAGUUGAUCAUUGAGCAUAAUUUAAUGGAAUAGAUAAGAUCAUUCAUUAUCAAUUAAGUUAGGUAACUAAAGAAAAUCAAAAGUUUUAUUGUUGGAGACGAAAAGACUUAAACUAUGAUACAAUGUUCUUUCCAACUUCCAAACAACAGCUACGUACAACCAUUGUUACGAGAUUCAUACAUACAAGUAGAAAAAAACUAAGAAAAAGAAUGAACAAAAAUUACACAAGAAAAUGUUUUGUUGAGAAAACAUUGUAUUCUAAAUUACUACAUAUUUAGAUAAUAUGCUAUAAUAAGUACUCCCUCCGUCCCAUUUUAUAUAUCACCUUUUUACUUUGCACUUGCAUUAAGAAAUGAUGUAAUUUCACCCUUCUAUCCUUAUUUAAUUUUUUUGGAACUCAAGUUUUCAAUCAAUUAAUAUGAAUUAAUUUAUUUUGAUUAAUUCAUUUAACCAAUGAACAUGAAUCAUUUACUUAAUUUUUCUAAGUUGGUUAAAUGUAUGUUUUCAAUGCUAAUUAUAACUCACAAGGGUAAAAAGGAACCAUAUGUUGAUUUAUGCAUUGAUUUUAUGAAAUGACAAGUAUUAUGGACCAACUAUUUAUAGAAAGGGAUGACAUAUAAAAUGGAACGGAGGAAGUAUUUGAUAGAUGAACAAAUAUAACAUGUAGAAGCUUCAAUCAAACUAAUAAAUGUUGGAAUGUGAAAAGGUUGUAUUCUAAUUAAUAUUGAGGAAAUUUGCCCCUCCACUCAAUAAAAAAUUAUUAAACAUCUAAUUAAUUGAAUAUUAAAUAAAAAGCAUAUCAUAUAGUAAAUGUUCAAAGUAGGAAAGUAUUAAAUCAAAAAAUGAAAGACGAAAAUGUCCAUAGAAAGUUGCUAGACAUUUUUACCCCUUUUUAAAGACUUAAUUAGUUAUUCUAUAUUUAAUCAUAUCAUAUUGUAUUAGCUUUUAUCAUCAACGCCGAAUUACAAGUUCACCAUUGCGAUAAAUCAAAAUAUCAUAAAACAUUUAAUUAAAUAUAUUCUAAUUAAUGAUGAUAGCAUUGCAUAUUUCAGCAAGAUGAUAAUUGUUAUGCAUUUGUGUGGUGGUGUGUUUCUUUUCUUUUCCUUCUAUUUCCAAUAGACGGAACAUUUUGAGAAUAGAAUAUGACAUAUCAAAGAGACUAAUGACUUGCUACUUUUCCCUGUGGAAGAUUAAAGGUUGAGCUUUCUUAUCUCCUGUCCUCUAGCAAACAAGGUAGACUGAUCUAGUCCACAUAUUCCAUGACAUGAUUAGGAUUAAUAUGCCCAAAAUGACUUGUCAAUGAAUAUCUAUCAAAUCCAACCACCCUCAGUUAAUUUGACCUAGUCAAUAAUUUUCCAAGUACAGGAACUCAGGAAGGUGUGUGGAAAAGUCCGCUCCACAAACUGAAUAGUUUCAAAGAAAAAGAUAUUGAGGUUUUAGAAAUGUUGCCAAUCAUAUAUAGUAAGUACUAAACUACUAGUGAUUAGCAUCAAACUAUAUAAUUCAAGUAAGAGUUUUGGAAAUGUCCAUCUUACUUUUCUUGGUAUUUUUCCCAUUGCUUAGCUUAGGACACACACUAGAGGGUUGUGAGGAUUCUUCGUGCAAUAAUGAUGGUCCCGUCAUUCAUUUCCCAUUCAGACUCAGUCAUCAACCAAAACAUUGUGGCUAUGAUCUUGGCUUUGAACUACACUGUAACAAUAAAAAAGACACCAUCCUUGAGCUUCCCUCCUCUGUUCACUUAGUUGUUGAAAAGAUUGAUUAUGUCUCACAGCAAAUUCACCUUUAUGAUCCUGAAGAGUGCAUAGCAACCAAGCUACCAAAACUGAAUUUGUCACAAUCUAAUUUCACAAAUGAUGACUAUCCCACAGACCUAUUCAAUUGUUCUGCACCAUUCUCAGACAAUAAUUAUGGUUAUUACUUGGUUCCAUGUCUUAGUUCUCCUGGUUACCAAGUACAUGCUGUUACUUCGACUUCAAGACUUCAAUACUUCUUGUAUGGGCCUUGCACAAAAAUUCAUCAGUACCCAUACUCACAUUCAACAUUUGGUGAGAACAAGCUGCAGCUGAAUUGGCUUAUACCACUCUGUGGAAACUGUGAGUUCAAAGGAAUGGAUUGUGGUUUCAAGAAUGGAACAAAGCUAUCAGAAACUCAUUGUUUCAAUCGAACUAUGACCCAUAAAGGUACUAUUUGUAUGUCUUAAAUUUUCGUUUAAUUUUUUCCAUCAUUGAUAAAAAAAAAGCACUUAACCUACACUUAAAUUUUGUCCGUAAAUAGGUAACACUAAGCAGCCCUUGAUUGCAGGUUAGUAUUAUUAAGUUCUCACUCUCUCAGUUUCCUAAUUGAUUUUCCUUUAUGAUUAUGACAUGUUAUUUAUUCAAUUAUUGUAGGUGUAGUUUUAGGUACAGCGCUUGUUUGCAUUAUUGUCUUCUCACUUUAUCAGCUAUAUUUGACAAGUAGAAAUGAAAGAGAGAGUCGAGUUAGACUUGAAAAGUUUUUGGAUGACUACAAGGCCAUCAGACCAACGCGAUAUUCUUAUGCUGAUAUUAAGAAGAUAACAGAUGAUUUUAAUGAAAAGUUAGGAGAAGGGAGUUAUGGAACUGUAUACAAAGGCAGACUUUCCAGUGAAAUCUAUGUUGCAGUAAAAGUCCUACGCGAUUCCAAGGGUAAAGGGGAAGAAUUUAUCAAUGAAAUUGGUACAAUUGGGAGAAUACACCAUGUUAACGUGGUCCGCUUGGUUGGUUUUUGUGCUGAUGGAUUCAGACGAGUUCUGAUCUACGAAUACCUACCAAAUGAUUCACUUGAAAGGUUUAUUUUACCAGUGAGCUCAAACCUGGGUAGUGUCUCACUCAUCAGCUGGAACAAGCUUCAACAUAUUGCUCUGGGUACUGCAAGAGGGAUUGAGUAUCUUCACCAGGGAUGUGAUCAGCAAAUCCUACAUUUCGAUAUCAAACCACAAAACAUCCUUUUAGACCACAACUUGAAUCCCAAAAUAUGUGAUUUCGGCCUAGCCAAACUGUGUUCUAAAGAAAAAAGUGUGGUCACUAUGACAGCUGCUAGGGGAACCAUUGGUUACAUUGCACCAGAAGUGUUAAUCAAGAAACUUUGGUAAAGUUUCUCAUAAGUCUGAUAUUUAUAGCUUUGGGAUGGUCUUGUUAGAAAUGGUUGGUGGGAGGAUAAGGAUGGAUCCUAAGACGAAUAACCACAGCAAAGUGAAUUCUUUGGAAUGGAUAUAUAGACAUUUAGAGAAAGCGGAAGAAUUAAAGAUUCGGAUAGCGGAAGAAGGAGAUGGUACAAUUGUGAGAAAGUUAGCUAUUGUUGGACUUUGGUGCAUACAGUGGCAUCCCAAUGAUAGGCCUUCAAUAAAAGAAGUUACUCAGAUGCUGGAAGGAGAUGGAAGCCAUCUCAACUUGUCCCCAAAUCCUUUUAUGGCUAAUAAUACGCCUAAGUUAAAUGCAAGUCCUCUCAGUGAAGAUCUAGACGUGAUAUUAGAAAUUGAAUAACACUUCAAAGUCAUUUGUAUAAUUAAUGAAAAGGAGAUAGUGUAAGAAUUGCAAAAGUAUUUUGUUUCAUAGUAAUCAGGGAGCUGAAUGAUAAAUAUGUAGACUUAUUUCUCGAUUUGAAUGCUUUAGAUCCUGAUGAGAUGCACUAGUCCACCACGUACUAAGGGACCAGAUUGGUUUUACACUAAAACACAGUAAAAGAGAUUCCAAACGCAUACACAAAGAUUAAACUCUUAAUCCCACCACCCGCAAUAACUUUAUUACAGAAAGAGCCAAAGCAAUACCUCUAUUGCCCACUAUAUUAACUAGAUCUAAUUAAUAUAGACUUCAAUCACAUCCUACACAGUCAACUCUAACCAUUCUCAUUGUUAGAUUAAAUACUGAAGACACGAUCCGUUCCUUUAUAGAUUAAAAAUGUAUAUCUUACAAGUUGAAUCACACACGACACAAGCUUUCUUAUGCAAUAACCAAUAGAAACGGUUGAUAACUCUUUCAUGUCCAUUGAGGUUCUUGAAGGCUUGUAAUCUCCGAAGACAAAAUACACCUUUUUCAUGAACUGUUAUGCUUGAAUGUCUUGACUAGGUUGUUUCAUGUCAAUGGGGAUAUAUUAUCCUCUGUACAAAACAACCUACUGUUCUCCCAUUGGUUGAGUACACUGUUCUCUUUUCUCGUGCUCACCAACCGCAUCAUUGUGGCAGCUUUUAUAGUUGUUCACCAUUUUACCAGAAAAACAUACUCAACUUUGGGACCAGGUUCUAUGGUUUGUGAGUAUCAUCAAAACACAUAGUUACAACAGAUCCUUGCACUAAAACCAUGUUAAUCGGAAGUCCACAAUGGGUUGAAUGAUAAAUGGAGAAAUAGUAGUUCUCUCAAACACACUCAUCCAAAAGAAAAGUCAGUUAUUUCCUCAAAGCUUUACCAAAUAUUAUAGAGAAGGCCAGUUUUUAUAACGGCGAAUUUAUUAUAGAGAAGGCCAGUUUUUAUAACGGCGAAUUUAGGAUUUGAAGAGGAUGGAUGCAUAGUAUUAAUGCACAUACUAAUUACUAUUACUUAGUGAUGGAUGCCAACUUGGUAUAAGUACACAUGCAUAAAUUUAUUAAUAUAUCUAUAAGUUAUUCGACUAAGAAUUUGGACUUAAUCUAAUGAAGGAGCUUCCUGAGUUUUUCAUGGGUAAUUAAGUUCUUAUUCGAUUAGCAAGUUGCAUUCUGUGGCUCAGCUGGACACAAAUUAGCAUACCCUUAAUCUAUAUCGACUACAUUCGGGGCAUCAUUUGGUUAGGAACACAGGAUGGAAAAUAGUGGGCUAAUUAGUAUUUGUGCAUUAGAGGGUAAAAUUUUGCUUGUUUGCAUGUAUAUAUAUUGUAGCAUUAUUUCUUCAAUUACUUCCUAGUUAGACUUUUCCAUGAUUACUCCCUCAUAUCCUUAUUAUCUCCAAAUUCAACUUUUUUCCGAUUGAGAGAUAAUUAUUAUUUUUGUUAUCCUAAAUAUCUGAAAUUUGUGGACUAGAUCAGUGUCUCAAGACUAGCUUGUGUACUAGAUGGAAAUUAUGUGGAGAAGAAAAUUAUAGACCCCAAUAAAUGAUUGAUAGCUCAUUAGAUAGGUAAACGCCAAUGACUGAAAUUGAAGGAUAUGCCUUUGAAAAGUAUUCUCAAUGUCUUUUAAAGUUUUUGCACGCUCCUUAAGAAAAGUAUCCUCUGCGGUAUCACACUCACAUAAUAAAGCAGUGUUAAACACGGAAACAAGGCAUUUCCAUCUCCAUACAUCAUUAAUAAAUAGGUAAACGUCAAAGUCUUCUCUUCAAGUUGGAACUUUCUCAUCUAAGGACCAAACACAAGUUCUCCAUUGGCUUGGGACCCAAGCCAAUGGAAAACGUGUGUUUAGUUGCGUUUACCCAUCUAUAGAGCUACCAAUCAUCUUUGGGGGUCUUCGAUUUUCUUCUCCCCAUAAUUUCCAAUAUGUGGAAUUUGUGGACUAGAUAAGUCUCUCAAUACUACCUUGUUUGCUAGUUGGAAAUUAUGGACAGAAGAAAAUUGUAGAGCCCAAUAGAUGAUUUAAUAGCUCAUUAGAAAGGUGAACGCUAACGACUCAAAUGGAAGGACAAGCCUUUGAAAAUUGUAUGUCAUUUUAAUUACUUUGUGAUGGUUUACAUGAUUAUGGCAUGAUAAGAUGUGUUUCAGGCAAAGUGUUGUGAUUAAUUAUGGCCCCGAUGGGAUGUUGUUAUAUGUGGACCCAUGUGACGAGCGUAACACAUUAUAAAAUAAGCUCACGUUGCGUCUCAACUUGGCUUAAUUGGGGUCGGGAAAAAAAAAUCAAAUUAUGGCAUUGCCUUUCCUUAAUUCCUCUAAACGGUCCUCAUUUGGUCAAAUACCUAAUCUAGGUAAAUACACGAGUCCAUAGAGACCCAUAUUGGCACAAAAAAGUUCUGCUCAAAAAUCAAGUAAAAAAAUCAACCCUAGACUACUUCGAUGGGAUUAUCAGCAGAAUUUUCUAACAAAGCCAUUGAAUCAGAAGAAAAUGUCAUAGAACUUUCCAUCAUCUGAUGAACAAUCGGUUGAGAUUGAAUAGGCUGAGGAGGUACUUCUAGCACUUCAACUUCACCUUCAAGCAUUUCUACUACUUUACUCAUCGAAGGGCGUUGUAUCGGAUUUGUUUGUAUGCACCAUAGUGCAACUAAACUCAGCUUUCUAGCCAUCUUCUUUUCAUCAUCAUUCGCUUCUUCAUCCACCACAAUCUCCUUCCCCUUGUUGAACUUAUCGUAAAUAUAAUAUGGGAAAUAUUGGCUGGAAUUCUCUUCAUUUGCAACUUCAUGUCUAUUCAAGUCCAGCAUUUCCAUUAGCAGCAUUCCAAAGCUGUAAACAUCAGCUUUGUAAGAGAUUGCUCCAAUGCUUCUGCUGAUCAACUCUGGUGCUACAUAUCCAAUCGUUCCGCGAGCAGCUGUGAGAGUCACAAUGCUAAGAGAUUGCUCCAAUGCUUCUGCUGAUCAACUCUGGUGCUACAUAUCCAAUCGUUCCGCGAGCAGCUGUGAGAGUCACAAUGCUAUUAUCUGUUGGAUAUAACUUUGCAAGCCCAAAGUCAGAAAUCUUUGGAAUGAAAUUCUCAUCCAAAAGAAUGUUGUGUGGCUUGAUAUCAAAAUGCAAAAUCCGUACAUCACAGCCUUGAUGCAAAUACCCAAUUCCUUGAGCCACUCCAAGAAUAAUGUCAUACUUCCUCUGCCAACUUAACCGAGGACUCUCUUCUUGACUGGUGCUGAUGUACUUAUCAAGUGAUCCGUUGGGCAUGAAGUCGUAUACAAGAGCACGCUUUUGUUCCCUCAACACAAUACCCCACGAGUCCAACCACAUUGUACAUGAUGAAUCCUUCCAAUGGUAGCUACUUCAUUCAUGAAAUCUUGCCCACCAGCUUUAGGCUUGCUCAACAUCUUCACUGCUACAUGUCUUCCACUUCGAAGUUUUCCUUUGUAUACACUACCGUAACCUCCCUCACCUAAUUUCUCUUUGAAUCCUCUGGUCAUUCUGUUUAUGUGGGAGUAGUUAUAUCUGAUUGGCAUGAAAUUGUUUUGUGUUUGCAAAAAGCCUUCAAUCGCAUCAUACAUGGACAAAUGCCGCCUCUUGAAUUUGUACCCCAGAAAUAAAAUUAUGAACGGAAGGCCGAUCAUAAAUUUCAGUAUUAAAGACCCUACAUGUUUGAGAAGUUGUACUAAGGAAAUAAAAAGAUUAUCAGGAAUAAGAAAGUAACUUAGAAUGUUCCUACAUUCUCUUAAGGCAUAAUUUUGUCUGGUUCCAAGUAAACCAUAAAAUUAGGUUUAUUAUAGAUAGUUACCUGCUGUUGUAUGUCACCUUCAAGGUGUAAAAGAGUUGUGGAAAUGAAGAGAUGAUAAUUGUUAUGACAAACCAACAGACUAAUACUAACGAAAUGCUAAUUCUGUCCGGCCAAAUAAUACAACUUGCUAAAGGGAUACGAGCUUACCCAAGAAACUCCCAAUUAACAGCCCAAGUGACAUCCAAAUAUCCCCUGGUUAGAUUAAGGUCCAAACAUUAGCGAAUUUAAAAUGGGAUAAUUAUGGAGAGAAAAAAUUGAUGAAAAUAGCAGUGAAUCAUUAAAUAUACUUUCUAUAAACCCGAUAUAAUAAAGCUCGAAGCCAUAGGUGAUAGCUCGAUGAAAAUCAGAAAGGGAAAUGUUGUUCUCUGCCUCUUUAAUAUUAGGCCAUGAGGUCAGGCCGAUGAGUUGUACUCUGCAUCCAUCACUGACUUCUGAUGCAUUCAUUUCUCCAAUCUUUAAGUAAGUGUAUCUGUUUAAUUUGCAGCCACUAAUUUCUAGAAAUGUAUUAAUAGCAAAGGGACAGUUGAACAUGAAGAUAGGCUCUGCUGCUCUUUUAAUACUAUUCUCUGAUCCAUUAUAAUACAGACGAAAAUGUGUACUAUUGUAAUGGUGGGAAUUAAGAUGAGGAGGUAAUAUUAGAGAGCAUAUAUCAGCAUUUUGUAACGUUGGAUCUACCAGGCGAAUUGUCUGGUUAUCGUAGUUGAUGGCUUGCACAUACAAGUUCUUGGAGAAGAGUGAUAUAAUGGUUUUGUUGCCUUAACAAGCUAAUUCAGCUUCUGAGAAACCACAAUGUUUUGGAUCGGUGUUUAAGCGAAAAGGGUAGCUUAUGUCACGGAUAUGACCACAAGAAGAAGGGAUACAGUGUUUGCUCUUCAAGUUCCAAGCAUUGCAUGUUUGUGAAAUGUGAAGAAAGAUGAGGAUUGUAUAACAUUUUAGCAGAAUGUUUGUUCCCCUACACAUUGUUUUUAAAAAGGAGAUCAGCUCUAUUGGAUGAACAGAAAGAAGAGGGAGUCAUUGUAUAGUUGCUGGAGUCAAUUUUCUUCUCCCAAUAAUUUCCAACUAGCAAACAAGAGAGACUGAAGUAGUCCACAAAUUCCAGUUCAAAGUGAAGGAUAGGGGGACGACCAUUCUGCUCACCUCUUUUAGUGUUGAACACUGAAAUAAGGCAUUUCUAUCUCCAAGCAUCAUUAAUUAAUAGGUAAACGCCAAAGUCUUCUCUUCAAGGACCAAACAUAAGUCUUCCAUUGGCUUGGGACCCAAAGGAGUAAUAUUGAUAAUGAAAAGUCCACAAACCUUCAACUUCCUAGAUGGUUUAAUUGCAUUUACUCUUAUAUAUCAUUGUAUCAUCAUAUAUCAUCUAUCAUAAUAAAUUUAUAAUAUAAUAUAAUAUAAUAAAAUAAAAUAUAGAGAAAAGACAUAAAAUGACAUCUGAAUUUGUUUCGAAUUUUCAAAAAGACACAUUAACUUUGCGGACAUCCUAUUACCCCACAAAACAUUUCAGAAUUACAAUAAACACACUUUUUACACAAUCUCUAUGCUCAGUGCUUGAGCGUGAAUCUCACCCCAAUUAGUAAUAUAAUUUCAUAUUUUUUUCAAUCUAUUUAGUAAAAAUUGGAUAAAAUUUUGACUCAUUCACAUUUUAAUCAUGACCCACUCCAUUUAACCCUAAACCCCUUUUAGAUUUUCACACCACUCUCUCUCUUUGAUGAUCAAAGCCCUAAAGCAUUUCAAUAGUCACAAUAAAUUUAUUUUGCGGAGAUAAUUUCCUGAAUUAUGGAGUCAAAAUGAAGAAGCGAAGGCUCACAUGUUAAUUGUUUCUUGAGUUGAAUGCAAAUUUUGGUUAAAAUAUGUUCUUUUUUUAUAGUAGUGAUUUUGUAAAAUCAUCUUUAUAGUGAUUUGUUGUUAUUUUCUUCUUGUGUUAUUUAUUAUUCAUGUGUAUGUAAUGUUAGUUUAGGACUGAUUUGAGUUUGAAUGUUUCUUCACUGAUUUAGUUUUGAAAUUUGUUUGCAAUUGCACUUUCAAAAUUUACAAAUUAGUUGAUCUCAUAACUUUUAAAUAAAAUAAAAGGCAGAAAUUGAAGCUAGUAAAGCUAGAUGAUAAUUUCAUUGAGGAUGGGGAAAUUUUUUUUGGUUGUAGAUGGAAAGCUCUUCAACAUCUAUCAAUGGAGGUUUGGAGAAGAUGUAAAGUGAGUCUUUUAAUAAAGAAGAAAAUUCAAAUUGUUAGUGUCACAUGGCAUUUUUACACUGGUUUGGGGGUGUAUUUUUACUCCUACAUGUGCCUAUCAAAUGUGAGAACAUAACUAUUAUGAAAAUGAGUCAAAACUAUUUAUUUAUUGUGAUUUGAAAUAGUUUCAUGGGGUAAUAGGACGCCCACAAAAUUUAGGUGUUUUUUUGAAAAUUCAGGACAACUUCAAGUGUUAUUUUAUGUCUUUUCUCUAUAAUAUAAUAUAAUCUUAAUCUUAAUCUUAAUAUAAUAUAAAGGAGAAACAUAGACAAGGUGAUGUGGCACCUCUCUAUGAUCUCCAUAUGUAUUUAUCUUUUUUCUCAUUUUUUUGGGCUUUCUUUUUAUUUAAAUUAAUUAUUUUAUUGUAAAAGUCAAUUAUUUAAUUUAUUAUAAUAAAUGUUAUAUUAAUGGAAAAACAUUUACAACAAAGACUCUUCACAUGCCAACUUACAAGGAGUAAUUAUUCAUAAUUCAUACCUCUCUAAUUUCUAUUAUUAAUAAAAAAUAAAUAAAAAAAAUGUCCUUCUUCUAAUUACAAUUACGAAAAAAAAAUAUUUUUAAUAUUUUAUCUUUAUUAUUUAAUUUAUAUAAAAGGUUGUAUUACUUAAUUAAUUACAAAAAUCUAUAUAUAUAAUAAAGGUCUCUAUAAACAAGGUGAUGUGGCACCUCUCAAUGGCCUAGAAAACUACUUAUCUUUUUUCUUCCUUUUUUGAGUUUUUCCAUUCAUUUUUUUCAUUAAUCAAUUCAUUAAAAAUUAAAAAAUCAAUCAUAUUCAUUACAUAUAAUUAUAUCACAUGAAAGUUACAAAGAAACCUCUACCUAUUUGAAUUCUCUAAUUAAAUAAUAUGUCUCCUCAACUUCCUUCUACUUAAUUCUCAUCUAUAAAUAACAAUCAUCUAUGGUGUUGUUGCAUGUCAAUUUCUAUUUUCUCCAACUUCAUAUUGUUAAUAUAUUUUUUUUGUUUUUCAGCUUUUAUGAAGAUUAUAGAUAUAUUUUUUAGAAUUUCUUCUUGUGUUACAAUUGCCAAGCAAAAGUUUAUCAAGAUGAAGAAGAAAGUUUGAAGGCGGUGUAAGAUUCGUCAAAAGAGAUUCAAAAAUUAAUUCGCUACAAGUCAUCAAAAUGAAGAAAGUUUAAUGACGGUGGGAAAUUCAUCAAGAGUAAAAUUUGAAAAAGUAGAAGUUUCAAUAAUUUACAAAUAUAUAGAUGCACUUAUUGUUGCUUAUAUAAUUUUUCAAUUAAUUAUUUAUCCAUCAAGAUAUGUACCCUUCAAGAACAAGAUUAUAUUACAAAGCACACUUUUUGUAUCAAGGGCAACAUGAUCUUCCACGGAUUAUUUUGUUGCUUAAAGAAAACUUUUGAUAUUUUCAUUAUAUAAAACUUUUGUCUUUUGCAUAUACAAUUCAUAUUUUAUAUCGAUAUAUAUUAUGUAUAUAACAUGUUACCAUGACAUAAUUUCUCAAUCAAGAUUCUAUCAUCUUUUGUUUAGCUUUAUCUGCUUCUUUUCAUUCUAAUUUAGAUGAUAUAACACAUUUUUUUCUUUUGUGGAUUUUGAAUUGACUAAAAAGGAGAUGAGUUCCCCUCCAUUAAGUUUUUGUUUCUUAAUUAUUUGUUAACACUUAUGUAAAAUUAGUCGAUAUAUAUUAUUGUUGGUUUCAAAUUUCACAAAACAUUUAAUUCUUCUAAUUUAAUGAAAAUUUUCAAAAUGAACCAAGUUUGUUCUGCCAAUAUCUAAUUACAAUGAACAUAUUUUCUUAAGUUUUAGAGAAAAUUGAUAUUUGUUUAAGUUGAUUAUGAAACUCAAAAAAUGAGUUUACUCUCUUCAUUAAUUAAUUUGUUUGAUAACUAAAAAAAUAAUAUAUAUAAUAUUUAUUACAGCUAAUUACAUCUCAUAAAUUACAAAAACCUCAGUUUAUUCACUUCAUAAAUUACAAAAACCUCCGUUUAUUCACUUUUUCUACUUAAAUAAUGACAUAUCUCCUCAACUCCUUUCUACGAUUCUUUUCAUUACCUCUACAUUUAGUUUUCCCAACAUAUAAUAGAUUUAGAUGUUAGUCUAUCAUUUGCACAUCAGCUAUUCAAGAUUUACACGUAGAACAUUUUCAUGGGAGCAUAUGUUUUUUUCUUUAUUUGUGGUUGUAAGCUUUUGGUAACAAGACAUACUCUAAUUUUGUUUAAAAUUAAUAGGGAAAUACUACUAUGUUGCGUUGUUCUUUUUAUUAAAGGGUUGAUCCAUCUCGUGACUUAUAAUUUUUUUAUCUAUUUAUAUUUUUUGCUAAAACAACAUGUCUCCUCAAUUUCCUUUUACUUUUUGUUAUUUUUCAUAUUUUAACUUGCACGAUUUUUUUUUUAAAUAAAGAAUUUUAUGAAAGAUUACGUACCUAACAAAUAUAUUUUUUGUUAAACAAAUCAUAUUGAAGAAUUAUAUCUAAAAGGGUCUAAGUUCAGUAGUUCCUUAUAUAAAAUAAGCAUUCCUACUUUUAAAAAACGAGGAACAAAGAUUAUUUACGUUUCAUUUGAUGAUCCACGCCAAAUAAAAAAUUAAUCAGAAAAUUAAGUUAGCAUUUUUUUUUUUCAAAAUAUUAAACAUAUUCUUUUCACCCCAACAAAAUAAUACGAAAAUAGUAUCUUAUAAAUUGAAACAAUUAUCAUAAACAUUUUAAAGCUUUUACCAAAGUAUUGAUCAUAUUUCUUCUUUUUUAGUAUGUGCUAAUUUAUAAAAGAAAUUGUGUUUAAAAUAUUUGUUAUGAUCGCGCAAAGCGCGAACAUAUUAACUAGUAUAUAUAUAUAUAUAAUAAUAAUAUAUUAUUAAAAAUGAGAAGCUCCUAACCUCAAGAAUUACCAUUUUGCUCCUACACUAAAUUAAAAUAUUAUAAAAUAUAAUACUCCCUCCGUUUCAAAAAGAUUGAUCUGGUUUGACUUAGCACGAAGUUUAAGAAAUUAAAGAAGACUUUUGAAUCUUGUGGUCCUAAAUUAAAGUUAUGUCAAAUGUACAAAAUUACCCUUAAUCUUGUGGUCUUAAACAUGCCAUGUGGAAAGCAAAAAGUAAAAUAUUACCAAAAAGGAAGAGGUCAUUUUUUUGAAAUUGAACUAAAAAGGAAAGGAGGUCAUUCUUUGUGAAACGGAGGGAGUAAUUAAUUAAAUAGUAAAUAAUGAAAGUCAUCCUUUUUCCACUUUUUCCAAUUUAAUAACCGUUUUUCACGUAAUUACUCUAUUAGUAUUGUGUACAAAUAAAAGAGAACUGAAAAGGCAUCAUGAACUUUCAAUUUAUAAUUCAUGCCUCCUUUCUCUAUCAUCAAAGUCAUAUUUAUCUUAUAAUUAUGUUACUACUAGUGAAUUUGAUCGCGCUCCGCGCGAUUAUGAAAUACCUCAUUAAUAUAAAAUAUAUAUAUUUUGAAAUAUUGAGUGCUAAAAAAUUAUACUAAGAGUCUUAGUUCAAUUUAUUAUUCCUACUCAAAUUUUAUGAUUUUUACAAUUUUUAAAUUAUUUAUGGGUCUUUUGUUCUUCGGAAGAUUUUUUCCUUAAAUAAUGUGUUUAAUAACCCAAAUUAUUUAUAUAUAAUAGUAAUAUAAGAAAAAUAUACUUUCAAAUAUGAAAUAAAAAGUAUAUUCUUGAGUAGGGGUCUUAUGAAACAAUAAAUUAUGAAUUUUACAAUUUUGAAUUAUUUACGAGUCUUUGCUCUUUAGAAAAUUUUCCUUUAAUAAUGUGUUUAUUAACCAAAAUCAUUUAUAUAUAAUAGUAAUAUAAGAAAAAUAUAACUUCAAAUAUGAAAUAAAAAGGAUAAUCUUGAGUAGGGGUCUCAUGAAACAAUAAAUUAUGAAUUUAUGUAGAUAAAAUGAAGGAAUCUUUAAAGAAAAUAUAAAUAAUUCUUUAUACAAUUAAAAUAAUGUAUUCAAUAUUUAAUAUAUAUAUUUCUUGUAAAUCAUUAAUAGUAUUGUUUGAGCCUUCAUUAGUAGUUAAUAUAUUUCCGACAUUGUUGUACUGCAUCUAAAUAAAAAAUACAGACUUACGAUAAUUAAAAAAUCAUAAGAAGUCAAACUAAAACAAUUACAUGAAGAGAAUACAUAUCUUUCUUAGGGUCUUAAUCAUAUAAAACAAAUGAUGAUGAAAAUAAAAAUACAGAUUUAAUGCACAAAUUUUUGAUACUAUAAUAUUAUAAUAAUAAUAAUAAUAAUAUAAGGAACUAUAAAAUAAGUAAUAUCUUUGAGUAGGAAUAUAUCUUAUGAAACAAAAAAUGGUGAAUUUAUAUAAGACAAAAUGAUAAAUUAUAUUAUUGAAAGUGGAAGUUUAAUAGGUAUGAGUAUGACUUAUGAGUCAUGAAGGUGAAACUUUAAAAACAAAUAAAGGAGAAAAACACAAAUAAAUAAAAUAAAAGAAUAAACACAUGUGUGUAUAUAUGUGUGAGUUUUUUUUAAAAACACGACACAACUACUUUCAUAGCUAUAAAAUCAUCAUCCAUAUUUUCAUACCAUGUCCAAAUUAAGCCUUAACCUCAUCAAAUAUCAAAAUCAUGCCAAUCACAAGCCAUCUUUUGUUUUUGAGACAUUACCAGUUACAAAUUUAAACAUCACGUUAUCUUUAUUUGAAUUUUUAAAAAUAUUUACUAUUGUAAAAAGAAUUGUGGCCUUAGAGAGCGCCACAUCACUGGAGUACAUAUAUUGAUGUAAAUGUUCAGUUUUCUCUACACUUUUUCAUUGACAAUUUAUUACAAUAAUAAAUAUUUAAAAAAUUCAAAUAAAAAACAUAAUUAAAUUUGAUAAACAUAGAGAGAUGUCACAUCACUUUAAUAUUACAUUGUGUAUACUUAACUUUAAUAUUAUACUAUGCAAAUUUAGAUUUAGGGAGAGAGACGUAUUGAGUAGAAUUACAACUUUAAUUUCCUAAAACUAAAAUAAAAUCUUUUAAAAAAUAAAAUAACAUUGAGAUUGAUAAAAUAAUAAUAAUAAAAAACUUUUGGCUUAUAUCAAAAGCUUCAUAGUAAUAUCCUUUUCAAAGGAUGGUAACAUAUAUACAUACGUUAAAAAUAAAAUCAAGAAUGGAUACAAUCAACUCCUGGCUUUCCUCUUCUGUUCUUCAUAACAAAAAGCUUCAUAGUAAUUAUCCUCUUUAAAAUGAUGCUAUCAAGGAUGGAUAAAAUAAAAGGAAGAAGAUGAAAGAGAAGAACAAAAAAAUCNNNNNNNNNNNNNNNNNNNNNNNNNNNNNNNNNNNNNNNNNNNNNNNNNNNNNNNNNNNNNNNNNNNNNNNNNNNNNNNNNNNNNNNNNNNNNNNNNNNNNNNNNNNNNNNNNNNNNNNNNNNNNNNNNNNNNNNNNNNNNNNNNNNNNNNNNNNNNNNNNNNNNNNNNNNNNNNNNNNNNNNNNNNNNNNNNNNNNNNNNNNNNNNNNNNNNNNNNNNNNNNNNNNNNNNNNNNNNNNNNNNNNNNNNNNNNNNNNNNNNNNNNNNNNNNNNNNNNNNNNNNNNNNNNNNNNNNNNNNNNNNNNNNNNNNNNNNNNNNNNNNNNNNNNNNNNNNNNNNNNNNNNNNNNNNNNNNNNNNNNNNNNNNNNNNNNNNNNNNNNNNNNNNNNNNNNNNNNNNNNNNNNNNNNNNNNNNNNNNNNNNNNNNNNNNNNNNNNNNNNNNNNNNNNNNNNNNNNNNNNNNNNNNNNNNNNNNNNNNNNNNNNNNNNNNNNNNNNNNNNNNNNNNNNNNNNNNNNNNNNNNNNNNNNNNNNNNNNNNNNNNNNNNNNNNNNNNNNNNNNNNNNNNNNNNNNNNNNNNNNNNNNNNNNNNNNNNNNNNNNNNNNNNNNNNNNNNNNNNNNNNNNNNNNNNNNNNNNNNNNNNNNNNNNNNNNNNNNNNNNNNNNNNNNNNNNNNNNNNNNNNNNNNNNNNNNNNNNNNNNNNNNNNNNNNNNNNNNNNNNNNNNNNNNNNNNNNNNNNNNNNNNNNNNNNNNNNNNNNNNNNNNNNNNNNNNNNNNNNNNNNNNNNNNNNNNNNNNNNNNNNNNNNNNNNNNNNNNNNNNNNNNNNNNNNNNNNNNNNNNNNNNNNNNNNNNNNNNNNNNNNNNNNNNNNNNNNNNNNNNNNNNNNNNNNNNNNNNNNNNNNNNNNNNNNNNNNNNNNNNNNNNNNNNNNNNNNNNNNNNNNNNNNNNNNNNNNNNNNNNNNNNNNNNNNNNNNNNUGGCUUUCCUCUUCUGCUCUUCAUAUCAAAAAGCUUCAUAGUAAUUAUCCUGUUUAAAAUGAUGCUAUCAAGGAUGGAUAAAAUAAAAGGAAGAAGAUGAAAGAGAAGAACAAAAAAAUCACAUGAAACCCCCCAAAAAGGUAUAAGAAGAUAUGAAAAAAAUACUUACAUGAAACCCCAAAGGAAAAAGUCUAAGAAGGUAUGAAUAAAUAGGGGAAUGAAUUGUCUAAUUAAUUAUAGGUGAUUAAGGAUUAAAAAAAACUGAUAGUACGUGGGUUGAAGCAAUGAUUUAAUAGGAAAAAAUGUGUGAUAAUGCACGUUAAUUGCUCCAUUAUGUAUUUAGCUGUUACAUAUUUCCUUUUGGAAGGAAAAGUUAAAUGUAGUAAAGGCUAAUAAUAAGGAAAGUGAAUAAUUAUUUUAAAAGGUUAUUGAACAGAAAAUGAGAGAAAAAAAAUCAAAAUUUUAAUAAAUAGUAAUACUGAUCAAUGAAGCAUGCCACAUCAGCGUGAUUUUAUUCAGCUUUAUAAACAUAUAUAGAUUGUACUCCAUGAUAAAUAAUUAUAACCAUGAACGAAUUUUUACCUUUCACAUUCCGAAGCCGUUAUAUUUUGUGUGGUGAAAAAUACUAUCCUUUCAUCCCUGUAAAUACACAAACUUAAAACUUAAACCUAUCACUCCACCCCUAUGAAUUUUUUUUCACUUCUACACUCAUUGUUCUUCUGCCAAAUUUUCUGAUGGCUCAAGCUGAUCACUUUCUUACGACAAUCUUAAUUGAUAUUAGUGUUGUUAAACUUCGGCUAAAGAGUUUUACCAAAAAAGACAAUUGGGAUUUAUAUUUAGAAUUUUGAGAGUUACUAAUUCUUUUGACAAGAACUUUAUUUCUUUGUUAUAUGAUUAAAUAAUACUUCUAUGUAUUUGUUGAGAUUUAUUUCUUGGCACUUGGUAGCAUACAUAGGACUUUUAUUAGAAAAAGUACACAAUUAAAAAUAGGACGUUUAUUAUUUUUUGUUACAGUAAGCAAUAUUCUUAUUAUAAGAACUAAUGUAUUGUAUUUGUAUCAAGGUAUUCUUUGUCAAUUGCUGCUAGCUACUUCCUCACUUCCUUCUUCGUGUUUCUUUUCAAUUUUUAAUUUAUCAUGUAAUUUUUGCUACUAUAUAAUGAAUUGCGUUUUCUUCUUCUUUCUUAUAUUCUACAUUUGAUGAUGAAUCUUGGAGUUGGAAUUUCUUAGUUAUCUUUUUGUUAAAAAAAAUAAAUAAGCAAAUCUUCUCAUUACUUAUAGGUUAUUAUAUUUUUAUAGUCAUCAUUAAUUAGGUAAUGCUAAAUGGCCAGAAAAUUUGGCCAACAUUUGACUAGAAACUUAAAAAAUGUAAUAAAUUUUUUUAUUUUAAAAUAAACUAAUCUUUUUUCUAUUUUUAAUUAAAAGGUAUUAAAGUUAAAAAGGUAAAAAUGUUCAAAAAGGUAAAAUAACAUAGGUAAAAUACCAUUCUGGCCAAAUUUUUCUGGCCAAAAGGAGUUUUCCUUAUUAAUUAUUUUUUCAAGCUUUUAACAUUCCAUUUCUUAUGAUGAGAAGCGCAAAAUUCAAUAUCAUAAUUGUUCGAACCUUUCAUAAUUUUAAUAAUGUUGAAAGAAUAAUUUGAGUCACUAUACAUAUUUGUAUAAAUAUCUCUUGUGUUUUUUUCCCUUUCACUAACGUCUCAUUUGUAUUUCAAUUUUCAUUGUUUUUAUUAAUGAUUAUUUUUUGUGCUUAUGAGUUAUAAUUUUCUUUUACAAUAGAAUCUUCAUAAUCUCUAAUUCCCCAUCAUCUUCAGUUUCAGGUUCUUAAUGAAACAUAAUAAAUGGUACCUCAUUCAUUCAUAUUUUUAGAUUUCGUGAUUUUACUAGCAACUAUAUAAUAUUUUCAUAUGCGGUAUUGUAUUUUCCAUUUUAUGCUAUGCAAUAAUUACUAUACAAUCAUCACCCUUUUUUUAGUUUUUACUUUUUUUUAUUUAUUAUAUAUGCAAACAAUUAUGUAUAUUCAAGUAUAUAUUUAUCUUUAAAUUAAAGUAUUAUAUAUGUCAGUAAAGUAGCAUCAAAAUAAAAUUUUAUAACUUCAACUUACAAGUUGUUACUUUUUUCUUUAUAUGAUUGUUUUUUAUUUAUUAGCACAAAGAGAGUCCAAUAAUAUAUGAUUUCCAAUAAGAGGAGCGCUCAGACAACCUUUUCUCUCACAUUUGCCAACACUAGCUACAAGUUAACUACUUUGGAAAAACUGAAUAUAAGCUUGAAUAACACCAUCAUGUACAAUCAGCUGCCGGGUGCAAAUCCUAUGAUUUUCCAUGGACGCUGAAGGGUUUUUUUUUUUUUUUUUUUUUCACUUGCUGAUUCACAUUAACAUAAAUGAGUCAUAGCAUUAAGAAUGAAAAACAAAUCAAGGAACAUGUGAAGAAAUAAGAACGAAAAUAUUAGUUUCAAGAAUGACCCAAUACAAUAGCUUAACAGAAUUCAUCCUGAAGAAAUUGAUGACGUCCCCAUCUUCAUACAAGGAGAAAAGAAAAGGAGGGUGUUAUCUACAGUGUUUGCUAAGAAACUAGGAAUACCAACAAAAUGUCUUAGAUGGUUGAUCCAGUACAUCUGCAUAUCUUUGGUAUCUGGAAACAUAAAAUUGGUAUGUUAGCAUUCCAAGGAGAAAUCAUACUACUGAUAUAAUAUGCAUCAAUCAUAACAAUUUUAGAGUUUGUGGACAGCCUAGAUGGACAGUCAUCAAGUAAACUUAAGGCAAUUCAUCAAACUCAAACCAACAUGAAACCUUCUCUCUUAGGAACCAAGAGUUUGGCAGCUCGACGACAAUACCAUCUCUACAUAAUGCAGCUUGCUCAUCUGAUGCACUUAAAACUCCUGUAUUUACUGAGAUUGUUCCCCUUAAGACAGAGGGAUAUAAACUAAGCUUUGACCUUUUACUUCUUUUUUUCUUUUUUGUUGUUAAGGAUUUCAGGGAUCAAGUAUAGCACCAAAAUGCAGCUGUAUUUGUUACCAAAACCCAAUAAAUCUGUUUCCACCAUCAGAUAACAGCUUAAAAAUGCUUGAGCAUCAGGUCAACACUUUGUCCCUUCAAGUCACCUCUCCUGGCUUUUAAUUUGUCUCGCAAAUACCGAGCAAGUCAAAACAAGUUUGCCAAUCUCAUAAUGAAUAAUAGCAUAGGUUAUGUAAUUAUACUAUUUAUUGCAACAGUAGGCAGAUAAACUUCAAGAACCAUUGGCUAAAAAGAAACCUUCUAUUCUAUAUAAGUAGGCUGAUCCUAGUUCUGGAAACUCACAUUGUAGGCAGCUAAUCAUCAUGCAUGUAAAAUUGCAGUUGAGCCAUUUCCAAUGAUCCUCUAUAAAGCUCUUCAGUUCAGUUCACUAACCCUAAAACACUGAAAGAUCAAAUGCAUGUGGGUGAAACACAAACCAUAUGCAUGUGAUACAGAAGUACUUAAGAAUCUUAACAGAAUCCACAUAGGAAACAACAUGUUCUUGAGUUUGCUUUCUCCUAAACAAGUGAUCAAAUCAGAUUCAUAUCCAAAUUGUUGCCACUAGUCUACUACCUUAUGAAUUAUUUUAACAAUAUAGCCAAAAGCUAAUAUAGGAAAAUCUUCCAAGAAUGAUUAACACGAAACACACCAACACCACUACUUAGAGGUGGAAAGGGGCACGUUUUACCCUAGUAAACCAACCAUGAAGAAAGAUCUAGUGCUUUUUUUCACCUUUCGAUUUAUGGAUGAGUGUUCUUGGAGUAGUUGGUCUAGCUCUGAACCUACGUGCCUGACUUUUUUCUCAGGAAAUUCGCAGAAGAAGAUCCUGAAUUUGAGACUUUCUACAACAAAAUAUUCUCUUUGUUCUAAUUUGUGUCUCAAGUGCUUACCUCCACAAGAUGGCCAAUGCCCAGAGAAGUACAAUAAUAUUGACAAGACUGAGGUUGAAAGAAAAUUGUUUGGAGACAAGAAGCUGAUCAAAGAACACAUUCAGAGCUUUUAUGAGAUGCUCUUUACUGAAAGAUAAAAAUGUGGGGUCAAAGAAUGCAAGUGGAUUCAAAGGCCAUUUACAGAGGAAGAUGUAGUGGACGCACACAGGCAAUUUGAUGGGGAUAAAGCCCCUGGCACCUGAUGGAUUCAACAUGUCCUUUAAAAAAGGUUGACAGGACUGAUAUAAAUGAAAACAUUGGAAUUUUUUUAUCAGGAAUUGAAGGCACAUUUGAGAGGAGUUUCACUGCUACUUUCAGAGCUCUCUUUAAGAGAAGAGGAAAUGGAGAUUAAUGACUUUAGACCUAUAGCAUCCUAGUACCAUUUACAAACUCAUUGCAAAGUGCUUGCCGAAAGAUUGAAGACAUAUGAUAAGCAAACUCAUUACAGGCAACCAAAAUGCCUUCAUUAAAAGUAGACAGAUUUGGGUUUGUUUUUUUUUCAUGUUCGGUAAGUAAGAAAAUAUUAUUCUAAAAAUAUUUAUACGUAAUAAUUAUAUCAUAUCAUAUAUUAUUAUAAGUGGAAAAGAGUUUAAGUCAAAAGUUGAAUUACGAAAAUACCCCUAAACUAAUUUUUUUCCAUUAAAAAGUAUCUUUUACUAACUUUUAAAAUAAAAUCAAUAAUUACAUUUUCUCUAGCUACUUCCGUUUAUUUGCAUUAAUAAAAAAUUUCAAUUAAAAGUAAAAACACCUUUAAGGCAUUUUCUUUCAGAGAUCACAAUAAAUAUUGACUCUUCAUUAUUUUUCUUCAACUCUCGAACUUUUGCUCUUCUAACUUCCAAACUUUUGGCCUCCCAAUUCAAUAAAUCACUACAUAUACUUAACUCUCAUGCUUUUGCUCUUCUAACUUCCAAACUUUUGGCCUCCCAAUUCAAUAUAUCACUACAUAUACUUAUAACUUUUUAAAUCAUUUCACCUUGUAGUAGAUUUUAAUUUUAAAGCUGCUGAUUUUUUUUUCUAUUGGGCUGUAUCAGGUAUUGUUUCAUUUGUAAUAAAGAAAUUUUGUUUGCUUUAUUGAUUCUUGUAAUUUUUCAUAAUAAUUUCUUCUUCUUCCAUUGAUUAUCAGGAUUUCAAUAAAGAUUAUUUUCUCAGUUAUUUAUGUUUUUCAUUUGUUAUUGAUAAAGUAUGUUUGCUUCAUCAUGUAUGAAAUUGAUUUAAUUUGUGUUUCAGUUGCAUUGAUAUUCUUUAUUACAUAAAGAAUAAUUUUAUUUUUAUUUUUGUUUGAUUAGAUAAAAAUAAUCUUAAUUAUUAUACUGAAGAAAAAUAAUGUUACACCUUGUGCACCAAUAAAGCCAUACGUACAAGUAAAUAAAUACAGUAUAUUUUUGUUUGUAUCAUUGUAACUUUUUUUUUUGGCACAAUUAUUGUAAAUUUUUAUUUUAGUUUUGUACCAUUUGUUAGCAAGGAAUAGAUGUCUCAGUUCUAAGCAAAAUAUUUGGCAGAUUUAGAUGGUAAAAUUUAAAUUUUGAUACAAUUUAUUUUGUUAAAUUGAAAUUUGUAAGUUAAUUAUAUACGUCAAAGAACUUAAAUCAAACUCUUUUUUUCAUUUCUUCCAUUUCCGGAAGUUGAUUUGAAUGAUGAAUUGAGAUAUGAUUAUUUCUUACGCAAAAAUUAGUUAAACAUUAAAUAACUUUUUUAGUAUCGAAUACGUCCGUAACUUGACAUAGGUGAAAUUCAAGUAAACAAUCCAAAAAAUAUAUUUUUCUUUUCUUUUUGAUCAUUUUUUGUUAUGUCAACACACUGUGUUAAUUUAUUUUUAUUUAUUUAUUCAAUAUAAUAAUAAUGAAAAAAAGUAUGUUUUAACUAUAAUAAGUGAAUGUAUACUUUAUUUGUAGCUUCUAUUUUAUAAAAAUGAAAUUUGUGAUUUAAUAUUAUGUCAAAUAAUUAAAAUUAAUAUAUUUAAUCUUCAUUGCGGUUCUUUUAUUUUCAAAAAUUAAUUAGAAUAGGAGAACCAUUUUCAUAAGUUAAUUGUAAUAUAAAAAGAAAAUUAUUUUGAUUAUUGAUUCUUGUGUGCUAUAUAGUACUUAAUGUUUGUUAUCUACAAUUUCACUUUUAUAAUAUUUUUAUAUUUGUUGAAUAUAAACUUUUCACAUUUAGCUAUGGUUUGCAUUAAUUUAUUUAUUAUUUAAGUUUUUUUUCCCAAUAGUAUGAUGACAUGUUUAUCUUAUUGCUUUUCACGUUAAUUGGGUUGAUAUUACAAAUAUUUUUUUAUGUUAAAAAUGGAAGGUUUUAAAUUCAAAGUUGGAUUACGAAAAUGCCUUUCUCUAUAUUUUUUAAUUAAAAAUUUACUUUUUUCUAACUUUUAUAAUCAAAUCAAUAAUGAUAAUUAAUAUAUUAUUUAUUAGAAAGUUUAUGUUAAAAUGUUGAACUUUAUUAUAUGCUUUUGAAAUAAACCUAUAAUGACACUUCCACUUUAUUAUAUGUUUUUCAAAUAAACAUGUAAUGACACUUCCAUGAAUUAUAAAAAGAGUUUUUCUGACUCUAUUUUAUAUUAUUUAUUUUCACCAAAUUUCUUACAUUACAUGGCUUUAAUGGACGAACUUGGUGGACACAAUAAGAUAAAUAAAUUAGAAAUAUGAGUUGGGACGGUAUAAAAUUUAAUAUAAUGAUAGGGGUCAAGCAUACAACGCACGUUCCUAGUGUGUAUAUAUAUAUAUAUAUAUAUUAAAAUUUAUCUUUUUUUAUAUGCAUUUACUUUUUGUACCUUAUAAUUUUUUAUUUAUAUUGUUUUCUCUUUUUCUACCAUACUGUUAAUAUAUCACAAAUGAUUGUGUUGUAUUUCAUAAUUCAAUUAUAUGUAUAUAGUUUGAUAAAAAUUUCUUUUGUCAAAAUUUACAGAUGACAGAAUUAAUAAUUUUGAAUGAGCCAAAGAAGACGAAGGGUACAUAUACAUGUAAUUAUUAUUUAUAUAUGUCAAUUAAAUAUUUAAACAAUGAUUAUUUUAUAACAAAUAAAUACCUUUUUUUGUAGGUUUAGACUAUGAAAUUGAUAAUGAUCUACUAGCCAUCCUAAGGAAGACAUAUGUUGAUCGAAUUUCUCUACAACUAUUACAAAACACCACUCUCCUUCAACGACAAGUUCUCGAUAUGUAUGCAUUUGUAAAAAAGUGGAGGGUAUUCCUUAAAAAGAAGGUGGAAACUUUAAGGCAUUAAAUCUUUUGCUAUAAUGUCGACAUUUAAAUUAUGUGUUGUAACAUAUUAAAAAACGAACUUUUAACAAGUUGAAUACUUGAUAUAUUAUAAGAAUUGUAUAAUUGAAGUCAUUAUAGUAUUAGUUUUGCAAUUCACUUGAUAACAAUAUUUUUGUAUGAUGUGCCUUGCAAUGAUCAUAAUAUCAGUUGAAUAUGCUCACCGUUCAUUGAUUUGAGCUUGUAUUUUACACAUCGUACACUUAUAAUUUAGAAGUAUUUAUACUAAUUAGCACGAUCUACACGUGCAACGCACGUGUUCAAAACCUAGUUAAAAACUAUAAGGGUGGAAUAGUCAAGAGUGAGAAUUGAUGGGUAGAGUGGAGAUAAUGAAUUUGGAAGGUUACUUAUGAAACUUUUGUUUCCUACUUUCAUUCCUGCAAAUGACCCUAUUUUAGGUGGUCUUUAUUUUUCCCCCUCAAAUUGAUGGUCUUUAAUUUUUGUCUUUUGGACACUUUUAAGCAAAAUAAGUGGCCGAAAAGCCUGAAAAAAAUAAAAUAAAAUAAAUAAAUAAAUUGCAAUACACUAGUUAUGCCUUUCAAGGUAUAAGCUAAUUAGUUUCAGAAUAUUAAGACUUAAAAAGUUCUUAACUACAAAUUAUGGCACUUAAUUCCUACGGAACUUUUUUGAACAAUAUAAAACUUCUCUAAACAUUUACCUUGUGAAAUUAGGUCAUAGUUAAGGAUAUUUUGUCCACAAAUUUUCAUUAAAUGAGAAGCAAAGACAAAAAUUUAAAACCAUCCCAAAAUAUGAGCAAUUCGUAAAAAACAACUUGAAGUCAUUUUCCUCAUUUUUAAGAAACUCUGCAUUUCCAUUUCCAACAUCAUUAAGAAAAAGGUAAACGCCAAAGUGUUCUCUUCAAGUUGGAACUUUCUCAUGGGGACCAAAUGUCACGUCCCGAGCCUACACCCUGGGCGUGGCCGGCACUCGACGACCAUUUCUGGCCCCGAGCGAACCCUUGGCUUGGCUACUUAACUCAGCGGAAACUUAAUUCAACAGAAUAACUCCAUGCAAUGAAAGGUCAUAAAACAACCUAACUGAUAAAAUCUGGCUAAAAAGGUAACUCGUGUCUCAAAAUAGAAUAUUUAUAUAUAUACAUAAAGAUGAGAGACUUAAUACUAACUGACUGACUGUCUGUGAACUCUAUAACACUGAGAUGGAUGUUGGGACAGACCCCGCAACAUCCUAACAAAGCAAAACUAGGAAACAAAAUAAUAGAGUCCUCCGGAAAGCAAGGAGGCUCACCACUGACUCUGGAGUGCUCAGCUGGAACAACGGCGUGCUGGAUGCUAAUCCUGGGUACCUGCGUCUGGAUCAUCAUAAGAUGCAGGCCAACUGGCAUCAGUACAUUGAAUGUAUGAGUAUGCGAGCUGGAAAGCUAAACAACAACUUAAGCUUGAAAGGAGUACAAAGGAACACUUACCUUGGCUCUGUUCAACUCAUGAAUAACUAAACCCAAUAUAAAGCAAUAAGACACAUGCAAUAUAUAAAGCUUGUAAAACAAUGUAAACAACUUAGUUCGUUAAGGAUAAAACAAUAACAAACUCAACUUUACUUAUAUAAAAGUAAUAUAACUUUAGUGGGAGAUUCUUUAACCGACAACCACCACUAUGAGCCAUAGUGACGAUACAACGUUUUACAUCACGUUGCCCAAUGAACAUCCUACACCUUGCCGUGAUAUAGGACCUUACUUAACUUAGUGGAUCCACUAGCUUAAUCUUACGUGAUCAUCUAAAAAGAAUGACCCGUUAAGUCCCAUGUUUGGCUACAUGGUUCUUAUGGAGAGUUGAGUUAAUAUGAACUCGUGUCCCCAAUUCGGUGCUUAAGACUACUCCCAAAAUAUACUUUAGCUCAUAUGUGUUUUAAACACCUCUUUCUUUAGUUUGAGAUAAUUACUCAAAAUCUAGUCCAAAGGCUCACUUGGAAAACAUAGUUCCUUUCUUACUCAAAUGUAAAAACAUUUAUAAACUUCUUUGGGAAUACUUAGUUCCCUAAUAACUUUUGAGAAAUGAACUCAACUCUAUACUCUUUACUUUACUUGAAACUCUAUACUCUUUACUCAACUUGAUACAAUGAAGACUCUUGAAAAACUUUAAAGACUUGCUUUGACUUACUUCUUAACUUCUAAGCUUGACUCUAACUUCACUUGACUUUGAUCCUAACUUUCCUUGAAUUGGAUUAUGAAUUCAAGGGUAAUGAUCUCAUGUUUAUGGAUGAGUUCUUGAUGUUUAGAUGUACCUUAGAGUGUUGAAAACAACUAUAAAACAUAGGUACAUUACCAAGGAACAUGUAUGAAAAAGUGGGGAAUGAAUGGGGAGACUUGGCAUCCUUGGCGCUCUGAGAGGCGCGGGGCGGCAGACCUCAAAGUUCAGACAGCCUGGUGUUGCGCUCUGCAUGGCGCGCCGCCCCAAGGAGGGAACUUCAGAGUCCCUUUUGGGGCGCGCUGGCUAGAGCGACGCCCCAGCCUUUGCCCCCGAAAAUCCGACCUUUCUCCCUUGUUUUUCCAACUCUAAACCUUCUUAACUUCAAAGGUUCCAGCCCCAAACACUUAGAAUCAUAAAACCACUCAACAUACAAUAGAUUCAACUCGAAAACACAACCGGAAACAUGUCCCAAAUCAACAAGAACUUCAACACAACCACAAGACUUCAACAAACACAACCAAAAUCUUUUCUCGGAAAUUAAAACGAGUUUGGUGUCUGGGGGAUGAACCAACCCAACACUAUGAUCUCACAUACCUUAAUAGGGAUCACCCCCUACGAAAACUACGACGAUCUUUACGGACUUUGCUUCUUCUUCUCCUUCUCCUCUUCUUUCUCUCUUCACUCACAACCCUAACACUCACCUUUUAAAUGGGAACACUGAUUUAAAAUCAGUCUAAAUCCUUAAUAUAACCAAAAGAAAUGGUUAGGGAAAAGACCAAAAUACGCUUACAAAAUUCUGAUUGAAUUCUCUGAGCCAACAACCCAACUUCCAAAGAGCAUAACUCACUCAUACGAACUCAGAAUCGAGAAAUCUCGGUGGCGUUGGAAAGAUCAUUCCAAGGGCUUUGCAAACAUAACAGGAAAUACACCUAAUUCAUCCUGAGCUAGGAGUUAUGACUGUUCAAAGUUGACCAAAAACUCAUUUUUUUCCCAUACUUGAACCAAAUUUCCAGAUUUUUGAAUUAUUCCCAAAAAUGACUAUUUGCAAUUUCAAGCUUCUUCAUAGUUAUUUCAAAUUGCAAGAUGUCACAAAUCUCCCCCUUGGGAACAUUCGUCCUCGAAUGAGACUAUUCUUACUAGGCUAAGGGUGUAACAUCAAACUCAAACGCCCAACAAGCAACCAUGCAAACAACAACAACAACAACAACAACAACAAUAUGCUCACUAUAAUUUAAAGAGCACUAAGAAAAUAUUUCUAAUUGAAGGCACAUUUGAGAGGAGUUCGACUGCAACUUCCAGAGCUCUCUUUAAGAGAAAGAGGAAAUGGAGAUUAAUGACUUUAGACCUAUAGCAUCCUAGUACCAUUUACAAACUCAUUGCAUGCAACCAAAAAUGCCUUCAUUAAAAGUAAACAGAUUUGGGGUUUUUUUUUUUCAUGUUCGGUAAGUAAGAAAAUAUUAUUCAAUUCCUCUUCUUAUUGUAUUCUGUGCCCUUCGUUUUUUAUUUUGUUCAAAAAUUAACAAAUGCCCAUCGAUUUUUAAAGUGCAAACUACCGUUUAAGAAUAUAAAUAAAAAUAAUAAAAGCCUAUAAUUAUUGUAUUUUGUAUUUACAUGGUACAUAAAAUAAAAUAAAAAGAGUUAAGAAUCAAACUUGAACACUAUUUGAAAUAAAGCAUACCUUCAUGAAAAAUGUGGAUUUUAAUGAAUUGCCACUAGCAUGGUCCUUGAGCCUCCUCCCUUAUUUAUUUUGUAUCAAACUUUAUUAAUACUACCAUCAUUUUUCUUUUUCUCAUUAAUAUUUCCUCCAUCAUGACUUCUAUUUGGCUAGUAACUCUUGCAUUAGUUGCAAUAAUAUUCCUUGUGAAAGAAUUCAUGAAGAGAAAAGAACUUCCUCCUGGUCCAAUAGGGCUUCCACUUCUUGGAAAUCUUCAUAUGUUUGGUGAAAAUCUUCACCAAGAUCUUUAUAAAAUAGCCAAGAAAUAUGGUCCAAUAAUGACCAUAUAUUUUGGUCUUGUUCCUACUAUUAUUGCUUCUUCUCCUCAUGCAGCACAACAAUUCUUAAAAAACCAUGACCAAAUUUUUGCUAGUAGACCAUACCAUGCAGCAUGUUAUUACAUUUUUUAUAAACAAAGAAAUUUGAUCAUGGGAAAGUACGGACCUUAUUGGAGACAUAUGCGUAAAUUAUGCACUCAACAAUUGUUAAGCAAUGUCAAGAUCAAUUCAUUUCAAUCUAUGAGGAAACAAGAGCUUCAAAUUCUUGUGAAUUUCCUCGAAAAAGCAGCUUCAAAUCGCGAUGUGGUUGAUCUUAGCGCUAAACUUGCAUCUCUUAGCGCUAACAUGGCUUGUCUUAUGGUAAUUGGAAAGAAAUAUAACAAUGUAGAUGGGGAUUUCAAAGAUAUGGUCAAAGAGACGUCGCGUAUGGCAGCAACGCCAAAUCUUGCUGAAUUAUUUCCCUUUCUUCGUUUUAUUGAUUUCCAGGGAUCGAUUCAUCGUAUGAAACAAAUAGCUAAGAGUUGUGAUGAAUUUUUGGAGAAUGUUAUUGAUGAACAUGCUCGACAAUAUUCGAGUGACCAGUCGAAAACUAGUACAGAUAUGGUUGAUACAUUGAUGGAAAUUAUGCAAUCUGGAGAAGCUGAAUUCGAGUUUGAUCGUAGACAUGUCAAAGCUAUUUUGUUGGUAACGUCAUAUCAAACUUCUUGAGACUCCAAAGUGUUUAUUUUAUAAUUCAUAUAGCCAAAUCUAUCUAGCUUGGGAUUGAAGCGUGCAUGUUUGUUCAUAAUGUAAAUGUUACAAUAACAUAUCUUUUCGAAAUGUACACCAAGAUCACUUUGAUGUUGUUGGUAUUUGAUUUAAUAUUUUUUCUAUAUUUCACCAAUUAGGUUGAAGAAAUUACAAUAGUUGUGUCUACUUGAUUUAGAUCUAAAUAUAUUGAUCUUUGGUGACAAAGUUUUCACAAUCACUAAAUAUUUUUUUUUCAAUAUACAGGACUUGUUGGUAGCUUCAAUGGAUACUUCAUCAACAUCAAUUGAAUGGAUUUUAUCAGAACUUUUCAGACAUCCUAAUGUAAUGAAGAAACUUCAAAGUGAGUUGGAUUAUGUAGUUGGCCAAAAGGGGAUUGUAGAAGAAAAAGACCUAGAAAACCUAGAUUACUUAAACAUGGUCAUAAAAGAAGGCUUUAGGCUCCAUCCAGUUGCACCCUUAUUACUUCCACAUGAGUCAAUUGAAGAUUGCACACUUGAUGGAUUUCACAUACCUAAAGGAUCUCGAGUUUUGGUUAAUGUUUGGGCAAUCGGAAGAGAUCCAGAUGUUUGGCAUGAGCCUGAAAAGUUCAUACCAGAGAGGUUUGUUGAAAGUACUAUUGAUGUUCGAGGACAAAAUUUUCAACUUCUGCCAUUUGGUUCUGGCAGAAGAAGUUGUCCUGGUUUACAGUUAGGACUUACCAUUGUUCGUUUGGUGGUAGCUCAAUUAGUUCACUCCUUCGAUUGGGAGUUUCCAAAUGGUAUGAUGUCAUGUGAUAUUAACAUGACUGAGAAAUUUGGUUUGGUAACAGCUAGAGCUCUAUCUCUAAUGGCUAUUCCUAUUUAUCGAGUAAAAUGAAGUAUCUAUUUUCCGUAUUUUCAGUGUAAGUGUAUGUGUGGAAACAUUAUUAUAUUGUACAACUUGUUAGUUUCAUUUUAGUUUUGAAAUUCAAUAAUCUCUUGCUAAGAAAAUAAUGACAGUAUUCUUCCUCUUCUAAGGGAUAUGAUUGUCGUUCAAUAAUGAUUUCCUUAAAUCAUAUAUUAUUAUAAUUGGGAAGAGUUUAAGUCAAAAGUUCAAUUACGAAAAUACUCUUACACUAAUUUUUUCCAUUAAAAAAGUAUCUUUUACUAACUUUUAAAAUCAAAUCAAUAAUUACAUUUUCUCUAGAUACUUUUGUUUAUUUGCAUUAAUAAAAAAUUUCAAUUAAAAGUAAAAACACCUUUAAGGCAUUUUCUUUGAAAGAACACAAUAAAUAUUAGCUCUUCAUUAUUUUUCUUCAACUCUCAGGCUUUUGCUCUUCUAACUUCCAAACUUUUGGCCUCCCAAUUCAAUAUAUCACUACAUAUACUUAUAACUUUUUAAAUCAUUUCACUUUGUAGUAGAUUUUAAUUUUAAAGCUGCUGAUUUUUUUUUUCUAUUGGGCUGUAUCAGGUAUUGUUUCAUUUGUAAUAAAGAAAUUUUGUUUGCUUUAUUGAUUCUUGUAAUUUUUCAUAAUAAUUUCUUCUUCUUCGAUUGAUUAUCAGGCUUUCAAUAAAGAUUAUUUUCUCAGUUAUUUAUGUUUUUCAUUUGUUAUUGAUAAAGUAUGUCUGCUUCAUCACGUAUGGAAUUGAUUUAAUUUGCGUUUCAGUUGCAUUGAUAUUCUUUAUUACAUAAAUAAUAAUUUUAUUUUCUAUUUUUGUUUGAUUAGAUACAAAUAAUCUUAAUUAUUAUUCUGAAGAAAAAUAAUGUUACACCUUGUGCACCAAUAAAGUCAUACGUAGAAGUAAAUAAAUACAAUAUAUUUUUGUUUGUAUCCUUAUAACUUCUUCUUUUUUUGGCAUAAUUAUUGUAAAUUUUUAUUUUAUUUUUGUACCAUUUGUUAGGAAGGAAUAGAUGUCUCAGUUCUAAGCAAAAUAUUUGGCAGAUUUGGAUGGUAAAAUUUAAAUUUUGAUUCAAUUUAUAUUGUUAAAUUGAAAUUUAUAAGUUAAUUAUAUACGUCAAAGAACUGAAGUCAAACUCUUUUUUUCAUUUCUUCCAUUUCCGGAAGUUGAUUUGAAUGAUGAAUUGAGAUAUGAUUAUUUCUUACGCAAAAUUAGUUAAACAUUAAAUAAUUUUUUUAGUAUCGAAUAUGUCCGUAACUUGACAUGGGUGAAAUUCAUACAAUCCAAAAAAAUAUAUUUUUCUUUUCUUUCUGAUCAUUUUUUGUUAUGUCAACACAGUGUGUUAAUUUAUUUAUUCAAUAAAAUAAUAAUGAAAAAAGUAUGUAUCAACUAUAAUAAGUGAAUGUAUACUUUGUUUCUAGCUUCUAUUUUAUAAAAAUGAAAUUUGUGAUUUAAUAUUAUGUCAAAUAAUUAAAAUUAAUAUAUUUAAUCUUCAUUAUUGCGGUUCUUUUAUUUUCAAAAAUUAAUUAGAAUAGGAAAACCAUUUUGAUAAGUUAAUUGUAAUAUAAAAAGAAGAUUAUUUUGAUUAGUGAUUCUUUUUUUUUUUGGAUGAUGAUUAUUGAUUCUUGUGUGCUAUCUAGUACUUUAAUGUUUGUUAUCUACGGUUUCACUUUUAUAAUAUUUUUAUAUUUGUUGAAUAUAAACUUUUCACAUUUAGAUAUGGUUUGCAUUAAUUUAUUUAUUAUUUAAGUUGUUUUUCCCAAUAGUAUGAUGACAUGUUUAUCUUAUUGCUUUUCACGUUAAAUGGGUUGAUGUCACAAAUGUUUUUUUAUGUUAAAAGUGAGAGGUUUUAAAUUCAAAGUUGGAUUACGAAAAUGCCUUUCUCUAUAUUUUUUUAAUUAAAAAAUUACUUUUUUCUAACUUUUAUAAUCAAAUCAAUAAUGACAAUUAAUAUAUUAUAUAUUAGAAAGUUUAUGUUAAAAUGUUGAACUUUAUUAUAUGCUUUUGAAAUAAACCUAUAAUGACACUUCCACUUUAUUAUAUGUUUUUCAAAUAAACAUGUAAUGACACUUCCAUGAAUUAUAAAAAGAGUUUUUCUGACUCUAUUUUAUAUUAUUUAUUUUCACCAAAUUUCUUACAUUACAUGGAUUUAAUGGACGAACUUGGUGGCACACAAUAAGAUAAAUAAAUUAGAAACAUGAGUUGGGACGGUAUAAAAUUUAAUAUAAUGAUAGAGGUCAAACGUGCAACGCACGUUCCUAGGAUAUAUAUAUUCAAAUUUAUCUUUUUUUUAUAUGCAUUUAUUUUUUGUACCAUAUAAUUUUUUAUUUAUAUUGUUUUCUUUUUUUCUACUAUACUGUUAAUAUAUCACAAAUGAUUGUGUUGUAUUUCAUAAUUCAAUUAUAUGUAUAUAACUUAAUAAAAAUUUCUUUUGUCAAAAUUUACAGAUGACAUAAUUAAUAAUUUUGAAUGAGCCAAAGAAGACGAAGGGUACAUAUACAUGUAAUUAUUAUUUAUAUAUGUCAAUUAAAUAUUUAAACAAUGAUUAUUUUAUAACAAAUAAAUACCUUUUUUUGUAGGUUUAGACUAUGAAAUUGAUAAUGAUCUACUAGCCAUCCUAAGGAAGACAUAUGUUGAUCGAAUUUCUCUACAACUAUUACAAAACACCACUCUCCUUCGACGACAAGUUCUCGAUAUGUAUGCAUUUGUAAAAAAGUGGAGGGUAUUAUUCCUUAAAAAGAAGGCGGAAACUUUAAGGCAUUAAAUCUUUUGCUAUAAUGUCGACAUUUAAAUUAUGUGUUGUAACAUAUUAAAAAAAGAACUUUUAACAAGUUGAAUACUUGAUAUAUUAUAAGAAUUGUAUAAUUGAAGUCAUUAUAGUAUUAGUUUUGCAAUUCACUUGAUAACAAUAUUUUUGUAUGAUGUGCCUUGCAAUGAUCAUAAUAUCAAUUGAAUAUGCUCACCGUUCAUUGAUUUGAGCUUGUAUUUUACACAUCGUACAUUUAUAUUUUAAAAGUAUUUAUACUAAUUAGCACGAUCUACACAUGCAACGCACAUGUUCGAAACUAGUUAAAUACUAUAAGGGUGGGAUGGUCAAGAGUGAGAGUUGAUGGGUAGAGUGGAGAUAAUGAAUUUGGAAGGUUACUUAUGAAACUUUUGUUUCCUACUUUCAUUCCUGCAAAUGACCCUAUUUUAGGUGGUCUUUAUUUUUCCCCCUCAAUUUGAGGGUCUUUAAUUUUUGUCUUUUGGACACUUUUAAUCAAAAUAAGUGGCCGAAAAGCCUGAAAUAAAAUAAAAAAAAACCAAAAAAAUAAAUAAAUUGCAAGACACUGGUUAUGCCUUUCAAGGUAUAAGCUAAUUAGUUUCAGAAUAUUAAGACUUAAAAAGUUCUUAACCACAAAUUAUGGCACUUAAUUCCUACGGAACUUUUUUGAACAAUAUAAAACUUCUCUAAACCUUUACCUUGUGAAAUUAGGUCAUAGUUAAGGAUAUUUUGUCCAUAAAUUUUCAUUAAAUGAGAAGCUAAGACAAAAAUUUAAAACCAUCCCAAAAUAUGAGCAAUUCGUAAAAAAAAACUUGAAGUCAUUUUCCUCAUUUUUAAGAAACUUUGCAUUUCCAUCUCCAACAUCAUUAAUAAAUAGGUAAACGCCAAAGUCUUCUCUUCAAGUUGGAACUUUCUCAUGGGGACCAAACACAAGUCUUCCAUUGGCUUGGGACCCAAAGGAGUAAUAUUGGUAAUGAGAAGGCCACAGAACUUCAAGUAGCUAGAUGGUUUAAUUGCAUUUACUCUUAUACAUAAUACUAAUAGUGAAGUCUCAGCUUUACCUGAGUAAUACACAAAUAUCUAAAGGAAACUCUCAGCUUAAAUAUUUUAUAUUAAUCCUUGUAAUUAUCAUUCUGCAAACAUGCAAUGCUAAGAAGAGCAAACACUACUACUGUCCCCCUUCUGCUUGUGACCAUGUGAUCCGUAACAUAAGCUUACCAGCUUUUUGCUGGAACACCGACUCAGAACAUUGCGGAGAUGAUAAUCAAACAUUUUCCUUUCUGAUUUGUGGAUUGCAGAGCCCAUCUUCAUGUUCAACUCUCCAUUUGCUGUUAAUAACUCGAUAUUUGUGGAAAUUAGUGCCUGCAAAUUAAGCAGAUACACUUAUUUAAAGAUUGGAGAAAUGAGUGCCUUUGAAGUCAGUGAUGGAUGCAGAGUGGAAUUUAUAGGCUUGACCUCAUGGCCUAAUAUUAAAGAUGCAGAGAACAGCAUUUCCCUUUCUGAUUUUCAUCAAGCAGUCCUCGCUUCGUUAUUAUCUGCGGAAUUCUCCACUAAAGAUAAGUAAGGACAUCAAUUAUAUAUGCUAUGCUCCUUAAUUUUUGUAGUAAUACUUCCUUCCGUGGUAAGUUUUUAUAUAAUAUUAUGCUUACAUCUUCUUCUUUUUUUAAUAUUUGUUUUCUUAACCUAAUUUUUGUCAAUAUAAAAAUUAAUGAUUUAACUAAAUCUCCCUUUAUCAUAUAUUAUUUAAUUUAAUUAAUUUUAUAACAUCUUUUUAUUCAAUUUAUCAAAAAAAACUAACUUCGCAAAGCAAACAAUUUUUUUAUUCAGUAUAAACAUGCAUGUCACACUAAAUAAUAUCAUAUUAAAAUACUAGUAUCAAAUAUUCAAUCCACAAGUUUAAAAUGAAAUUUCAAUUAAAAACCAAGGAAGCAUGAUUAUAUUACCGAAGAGGUUAUAAGUGGAAAUAUUUUUUGAAAAAUUAUAGGUUUGUUGUCUUCUUUUAUUUAUUUUUACUAUUUUGCUGUCGUGUUUCCUCAAUAUUUUUAAUAGGGUAAUAGUUAUUGAUAUGAAUAUUUUAAAAAUCCAUUUCAUAAAUUAUUAUUUUUUGUUUGCAAUAAGACCAAACUGAAAAAUUACUUGAAGAGACGAAGCCGGAGCCAAGUACAUUAAUGCUUAAUGCUUGGACAGUUGAGUUAAUAUUAAUUAAGUUAAGAAAAUUAUUGUUAAAACAAAAGAGGCAAACAUAAUAUUAUUAACUACAACGGAAGUAAGUAUUAUGAAACUAAACUUGAAGGGUAGUUUGUGCAAUUAUCUCUUUUAUCUUUUGAUUAUAAUGAUUUUGUAGAAAAAUAAUUUAACAUGAGUGAUUUUAUAAAAGAAAAUUCAUAAGUUGAAUGACUUUAUUGAUACAAAAUUAAGUUGAGUACUUUCUUAAAUAAUUUCACAUACUUGAGUGAUCUUUUGAGAUAUUUAUUCUUUGAAUCGUUGGCAUUUACCUAUCUAAUGAGCUAUUAAAUUUAUCUUUUGAGGUCUACAAUUUUCUUCUGCCCAUAAUUUCCAAUUACUAGCAAACAAGGUAGUCUUGAACGACUUAUCUAGUCCACAAAUUCCACAUAUUGGAUAUCCCCUACCACAAACAAUUUCUUAUAUUUGAAAAUUCAGGCCUAAGAAUAUCAAAUUUAACUCAUGAAAAUAUAAAUCAUGUAAUUCGUCCAAACUUAAUUGAAGAGGGUUAGACUGGGCAUAGAUCAAGUCAGCACAUCUAAAAGACUGGAAUGAUUUGGGAUGUAUAUAUAGCCUUAGAUUGAUGCAUGGAAACAAAAAACUAAUUAGUUUUAUUUUGUAGUCAAACAAAUUUAUAAAGGUAUAAAACAACAAAAAGAAAAAUCAUAUUGAGUUUGGACAAAUUGGGUUAUAAUGGAUUGUUUUUGCCCGAAUUCAGCCACCCAUCUUGACCCGAGCAAACGUCACUACACAUAUUAUGGUCAUAAAUAUAUAGGUAAACGGCAAAGUGUUCCUCUUCAUCAAAUUGCAACUUUCUCAUCAACGACCAAACACAAGUCUUCCAUUGUUAAUGAAAAGUCCACACCAGUGGCGGAGCCACCUUAUUGCUAGGGGUUCAUCCGAAUCCCCUUCGGCAGAAAAUUAUAGCAUUUAUACAUGGUUAAAAUAAUUUUUUAGGUGUAUAUUGUAGACGUCGAACCCCCUUCGGCUACUUCGUGUGUUUAUUUUUUCAGAUUUCGAACCCUCUUAUUAAAAAUCCUGGUUCCGCCACUGGUUCAAGUAUCCAACAAACACACCAACAUUCUUUUCUUCUCUUGGAAAUAGUAGAAAUUAAGAGAGUACAAAUGUAUUUGUGUAGGGGAACCAUUCUGCAUAAAUAUUUUACGUUAAUCCUUGUAAUCCAUAUUGGGCCCGUGUCAUGGUCAUUUCCUCUAGUUUUAAAAGAGGUUUAAGUGGAUUAUUUUUUUAAAAUAACUAAAUAGCAUAUUGUAAACAUUUUAAAAGAGGUUUGAUAUUUUAUUAUUUUUCAAAAUUUGAUUUUAAAUAAAAAAAAAUCCAUGUAAACAAAUUCUAAUGAAAAAAGAUAAUUAAAUAGAUUGAGUGACUUUUGAAGUAAAAAUCAAAAUUGAAUAACUUUAUAAGUAAAACACUUAUAAUUAUUGAGUAACUUUUGGAGUAAAAUGAAAUUAAGUGAUUUUCGUGAUAAACUUCCAUAUUUGAGUGAGCAUUGAUGAUAUUAAGUCUUAAUAAAUAGGUAAACGGUAAAGUCUUCCUGUUGAGGGCCCUUUCAUCAAAUUGCAACUUUCUCAUCAACGACCAAACACAAGUCUUCCAUUGUUAAUGAAAAGUCCACACCAGUGGCGGAGCCACCUUAUUGCUAGGGGUUCAUCCGAAUCCCCUUCGGCAGAAAAUUAUAGCAUUUAUACAUGGUUAAAAUAAUUUUUUAGGUGUAUAUUGUAGACGUCGAACCCCCUUCGGCUACUUCGUGUGUUUAUUUUUUCAGAUUUCGAACCCUCUUAUUAAAAAUCCUGGUUCCGCCACUGGUUCAAGUAUCCAACAAACACACCAACAUUCUUUUCUUCUCUUGGAAAUAGUAGAAAUUAAGAGAGUACAAAUGUAUUUGUGUAGGGGAACCAUUCUGCAUAAAUAUUUUACGUUAAUCCUUGUAAUCCUCUUUCUGCAAACAUGCAAUGCUAGGAAGAGCAAACACUACUGCCCCCCUUCUGCUUGUGGCCAGAUCCGUAACAUAAGCUACCCUUUUAGCUUAAACACUGAUCCAAAAGAUUGCCGUUUUCCAGGAUAUGAAUUAGGUUGUGAAGGUAACCAAACAGUACUAUCGCUUUUCUCCAAGAAGUUUCACGUUCAAGGCAUCGACUACGAUAAUAAGACAAUUCACUUGGCAGAUCCAACUUUACAAACACAAGGUGAUCUGUGCUCUUUCAGACCUAUGCAUAUCUUCUUCCACCAAUACUAUAGUAUCUUUGACACAUAUUAUCAUUAUCAUAAUGGAUUACAGCGUCCAAUGGCAGAGCCUAUCUUCAUGUUCACCGCCUACUUGAGAAUUUAAUGUAUAAGCUCCAAUAUUUUGGGAUUUUUGGACAAAAGAUUAGUAAGGACGGACUUCAAUUAUAUAUGCACUGCUUCUUAAUUAACAUUCUUUUCCAGUCCUAAGAAAUUAGGAAAACAAUGGAUUCACUUACUACAAUUUAAUUUCUUCAUUUCUUUGUAGGUGUUACUUUUCUCUACAUAUACUUUUAAUUCUGCAUUUAUAUCUCAUUCUAUAUUUUAUGCACUUUAAUCUAACCAGGGACCAGUCUACGGCCACUUCUGUAUUUCACGGAUAAGCUCCUAUAUGAUGGACAAAGGGGAUAAUUAACAUUCUUUUCCAUCCUCCAUAGGUAUGAAAUUAGGAAAAACAAUGUAUUCACUCACUACAAUUUUAUUUCUUUAUGUCUUUGUAGGUAUUAUUCAACAGAUUCUCAGUGAGGACUCAAACUUUUCUCCAUAAUAAUAUACUUUUAAUUCUCCAUUUAUCUCUCAUUCUAAUUUUUUUUCACUUUAAUCUAACCAGGAACCAGUCUGUCGCUACUUGUGUAUUUCAUGGGUAAGCUCCUAUAUAUAGUGUUAAUAGCAACUCCCACAAUCUAUCCCAUAAUGUUGUUAAUUCUUUUGUUCUUAAAUUUAGAAAAUUCAUUAUAUAUAAGAUCAUAUUACAUAUACCAUUAGAUGUUAUUAUUACCUUAGUUUUUAAAUAAGUUCAACAUUUCCUAUUUUGUAAAAUAAUUACUAAAAAUUAAAUGAUAUUGCUGUGUUUGCAUAGAGUGUUUGCAUAGAGAAAACAUAUACUUAGUAGAAUAUAUAUAAAAUUAGGCAGGUACAAAUUUUAUACAGGAGAGAAACGCGCAACACACAUUCGUAAAGACUAGUAAUUUAACGCAAGUGAGCACAACACAAAAAUUCUAAAAUAAAACAACUCGAAAUAUAUUAUUGUUGUUGUCUUAUGUAAGUGUGUGUGCAUAUAUAGAUAUAUACUAGUAAAGAAAGCCCAGGCAACAGGGGUAAAGUUAUAUUAUUGUUAUACAUUAUGUACCGUUAAAAAAUUAGUAUAGAUUGUUAUAAUAUAUUUUGCUCAGAAGUGAGCUAAUAUAGAAACUUAUUUGUCUUUUGUCUUUUUAAUUUCAAUUUCAAAUAACAAAUAAAUGUAGCAGAUUGAGGAUAGAAAUGAAACUUAUCUUUCUAAAUCUAAGUAAAAAUAAAUAGAGUAGAAGUAACUCAAUGGGACGGUUCGAUCGGUUAUUUUAAAAAAAUUAUAUGAUUUCAAUUUUUCGGCUAUUUUAUAAUGUAUAACCAAAAUUAAGUUUUUAAAAACUAUCCCAAUCCCAAUUUAUGUGACAAAAAUUAGCCUUUUUUGUUGUCUUUUAGAUAUUUUAAGUUAUUAAUUAUUAUAAUUUAUAGUACUUUUAUGUUAUUUUUAAUUAACAUAUGUUACUUUUUAUGUUCCAAUUUAUAUGAAUUGAUAAAAUUUCGUGAGUUCACCAUUUUUUUUAUAUGUAUUUUAAAUAUUUUAAGUUGUUAAUUAUUGUGAUUUAUAGUAAUUUUUAGAUUAUUCUCAAAUAAUAUAUGUUACUUUCUCAGUUCCAUUUUAUGAGGCACAAUUAAAUUUUCAGAGUCAACAAAAGUUUUAUAUCUUUUAAAUAUUCUAAAUUAUUAAUUAUCAUAAUAUAUAUUAUUAUUAUUUAUGUAGUUCUAAGAUGUAUAACAAAGUUUUAAAAAAAAAUAAGAAAAAAAAUAAAAACGAAAAAACAAAAAAUACCACGACAAUUAAACAGAUAAAGAAAGCAAUAAGGUGGUUCCAUGGUAAAGCAGGAGAAUGGGUCCCAUUAUGACAUAUAAACAUGGUCACAAACCAAAAGAAUACAAUUGUCCAAGCAGAGAAAAACAAAGAAGCAGCUUUAAAAGCAUGAAUUGACCACAAUAGCCUCAAGUUGAAUAACAAUUCCAAAUAGCAUACCUGAUGACGGAGAGUGGACUGCGAGUCCGGAGCCAAAAGGGUAAACAAAUUUAUCAAAAAUUCCAAAAGGGUGACAAAAUUUAUUUUAGAACCAAAAGGGCAACUUUGUAACGGUUGAACUAUCAUCGUUCAAAUUAGGUCGACCGCCGCAAGGCGCAGCCAUCUUUGUUUUGAUGAUGGUUGUGCCUUGCGGUUGUCGACCUAAUUUGAACGGUGUCAAAUUCACAGUUAGAAAAUUGCCUUUUUGGUUCAAUAAUCAAUUUUAUUGCCCUUUUGAAAUUUUUAACAAAUUUUCUUACCCUUUCGAUUACGGACUCAUGUUUAUUCUCCUUUCUUAGUAGUAAAAUAGUAAGUAAUAUAUAUAUAUAUAUAGUGUCAAUAGCAAUAUUUGUGAAAAAAGACUUCUCUUCAAAACUCAUAAUUUCUGAGAAGAAUAGAACGUCCGCAUAAGAAAAAGACAUCUCUAUUGGCUCAAGAGGAAGUUAACGUUAUGACUUCUUAAUCUUGCAACGUAUUUGGGCGCAGAAUUUGUAGUAGGCCUUCCAUUGGUAUUUGCAUUUCUGGUGAUCAAAUUCAGGAGGAGGCAUUUGUCCAUGUAUGAUGCGAUUGAAGGCUUUUUGCAAACACAAAACAAUUUCAUGCCAAUCAGAUAUAACUACACCCACAUAAAGAGAAUGACCAGAGGGUUCAAAGAGAAAUUAGGUAAGGGAGGUUACGGCAGUGUAUACAAAGGAAAGCUUCAAAGUGGAAGAGAUGUAGCAGUGAAAAUGUUGAGCAAGCCUAAAGCUGGUGGGCAAGAUUUCAUGAAUGAAGUAGCUACCAUCGGAAGGAUUCAUCAUGUCAACGUGGUUGGCCACACAACAUUCUUUUGGAUGAGAAUUUCAUUCCAAAGAUUUCUGACUUUGGGCUUGCAAAGUUAUAUCCAACAGAUAAUAGCAUUGUGACUCUCACAGCUGCUCGCGGAACGAUUGGAUACGUAGCUCCAGAGUUGAUCAACAGAAGCAUUGGAGCAAUCUCUUACAAAGCUGAUGUGUACAGCUUUGGAAUGCUGCUAAUGGAAAUGCUGGACUUGAAGAGACAUGAAGUUGCAAAUGAAGAGAAUUCCAGCCAAUAUUUUCCUUAUUAUAUUUACGAUAAGUUCAACAAGGGGAAGGAGAUCCUGGUGGAUGAAGAAGCAAAGGAUGAUGAAAAGAAGAUGGCUAGAAAGCUGAGUUUAGUUGCAUUAUGGUGCAUUCAGAUGAAUCCAAUACAACGCCCUUCAAUGAGUAGACUAUUAGAAAUGCUUGAAAGUGAAGUUGAAGUGCUAGAAGUACCUCCUCAGCCUCUUCAAUCUCAAUCGAUAGUUCAUCAGAUGAUGGGAAGUUCUAUGACAUUUUUGUCUGAUUCAAUGGCUUUGUUAGAAAAUUCUGUUGUUAAUGCCGUUGAAGUAGACAUUUGUUCUCAUUAGAAGUGUGUAUCGGUCGAUUCGGUUUGGUUUUAUGUAUUAUCGAUUUCGGUUUUAAAUAUGCUAACUCAAUAACAAACCAAUAAGAUAUAUAUUUAUCGGGUUUUGAUCGUUAUCGGUUUACCCAAUAAGAAAAUGUCCGUAAAAUAUUAUAUGACUUCUCACUUCUCUAAAUGCUUUGAUAUAGUGAAACAAGAAAGAUAAUGAGAAAUUGCAUCAAUAAGAAAAAAUAUAGUACGAGCUAUAAUUACAUGUCACUGCCAAACAUAGUAUGAAAUUUCUGAUGUUAAUCAAAUUACAAACCUUUACAAACUUGCAAAUGCUACAACCUACAAUUACAAACUAAAACUAAAACUAAAACUAAAAUCAAAUAGCUACAAUUGUGAACCUUUACUUUAGUCUUUAGGUUUUGAGUAAACAAUAAAGACUAGUAAAGCGGUCUAGUGUGAAGAGUACUAAUAAUUUGAUAUAGUUAUAGUCUCUAGUUAUAUAUUAAAUUAUUAGUAUUUAAUAUUUAGGAAGGGUAAAGUAGUUAUAUAGUACCGUCCUAUUGGGUUAUCGGUUUACCCAAUAACCCAAUAGUAAAAAUUGAAACCGAACCAAUAACCCAAUAACUUUGUUUUAUAAGCCCAUUAAAAACCCAAUAACCCAAUAACAUUUUUUCGGUUCGGGUUUUGCACACCCCUAGUUCUGAUUGAUUAUAUGCAGAGAAUAGCAAAAGAAGAGUAUAGUCAGGAAACCUUCUGCUAGCCCAAGAUCAUUAACUAAGAUCGAAAAACUCAACUAAAGAAGAGGAAGCUAGAAAAGAAAAAAAAAAUUUGGAUAGGAGAACUUUGUUAUGGAAGAACACUCUUGAAUUGCUUUCAAUUGGGUUUUGUUACAACUUACAAUGUCUAAUGCCACCCCUAUUUAUAGUUGCGUAGGGAUGAUUCUAGAUACUAAGAAUCUAGAAUGUUCUAACCUCUUCUACAAAUAUCUUCCUCAAAUAUCUAAUAUUCUAGACUAUCUAGAUUUUUCUCGAGUACAAAUAUCAAAAAUAUACUCUACAAAAUUCUAGAAAGUUCUACUAAAUAUCUAAGAUAUUUUUUGUACCUCUAAAAAAUCAACUUUAAUUUUUCACAUUAUAAUUGGGUAAUGUUCAUUCAAAAUGACAUAUAUGCGAGAAGGGCUUCACGUUUUACGGGGGUUUGGCCACAAAGUGAGAUUGAUGUAAUUCUUCCAUUUAGUGCCCGAUCAACAACCCAUUUUAGUUAAUUUUCUAUAUGUUAGUUCCUAACCUAUGGAUAAAUCAAUUUAAAAAGAAACUUCUAGAUUUCAUAGUGGGGCUCGACUUUUCUACUCGAUUUUUUAGCUGAACUUUUAUAUGGCAAUAUGGUCUGUACAGAGAUCCAGAGCUUAGAAGAAAUUGUGGAUACCAUGAGAAAAAGCAAUGUUGAUGAUGAAGUUGAAGAUGAUAUUAUACCUUUGGAACCAGUUACGCGUAAGAAAUCACUUAUCGCAUCUAGAACUCUUCACAAUUUUAUGGUGCAGUUCGAAAAGACAACACCAGAGCUCUUGGAUGCAAUAAGAAAAGUUAGAGAUGAGCUUAAACUAGAUUUAAAUUAUUUUUAAAAAAAAACACAAUAGAAUCAUAUUUCACUAAAUUGUCUUAGAUAUAGUUGUACUUUUAAAGAAUUAUUAAUUUAUGAUAUUAAUGGGACCAUAUAUUUAAAUAGGGGUCUUCUGGAAAUAUAUUAUCUUAUUAUCUUAUCGAAAUUGGUGAUUUUUUCCAUUGGCCCAAGUCGGGACCAGAGGAAAAUAUUACUUUAGAGAGAUUAUUAAUUUACCGAGUAUUAAUUUAUAGAGAUUUUACUGUACAUGAACUCAGGAAGGUGUGUGGAAAAAUCCGCACCACAAAAACUGAAUAGUUUCCUGUGUGGAAAAGUUCGCUCCACAAACUGAAUAGGUUCAAAGGGAAAAUAUUAAGAAAAAAAGUCUAUUUAGAUUGACUUAAAAGUUGAUCAAAUCUACUCAUUUUUAGUUUUUGGGAGUGUUUGACAAAAUCAAAAAUAAAUUUAAAAUGUCUUAAAAAAUAGUUAGAAGUAGCAGUUCCCUGCUUUUUAUUUAUUUGACUUGACAGUCAUUUAUGUUUGAAUUUUUUUUUUUUUUUUGACUUGAAAACUACUUUUUUAAGAGGGUGUUUGGAUUAGCUUAAAAGUUGGCCGAAUCUACUUUUAAGUCAGUUUUUGAUUUAUUGAAGUGUUUGACAAAUAUAAAAAUAACUUAAAAUAAAUAAAAAAUGACUUGAAAUAAAGUUAGGAAGUGUUUAGCAAGAUUAAAAAUAACCUAAAAUAAGUUAAAAACAAAAAGUAGGUCCCCCCUACUUUUUAUUUCUUGGCUUAAAAGUCAUUUAAGUUUGACUUUUUAUUUUUGACUUAGAAGCUAUUUUUUUAUGUCAAUCUAAACGAUAGGGGUGGACAUUCGGUAUUCGAUUCGGGUUUCUCAAAUUUUGAGUUUGGUAAUUUGGUAAUUGGUAGUUAAAGUAGAUAUCAAAUACCAAAAUUUUAAAUUUCGGUUUGGUAAUUCGAAAAACAAUAAAUUAAACUUCGAUUUGGUGCAGUAUUCAGUAAUACCGUAUUCAAGUUAUAACCAAUUGUAUUACAAAUUUAAUAUUAUUUCUCUAAUCAUUUCUAUUUAUUUAUGUAGACACAUGAUAUAAUAGAAGAUCAAACAAGUAAGAAGACAUUUCUUUUUUUUUUUAACACCCGGAAAUUGCUUCAUAAAGGUUUUAAGACAUUACAUGUACUUGUGGAUUUUUCACAAGUUUGAUUUAUUAAAUCCUUCAAGAAUGAAAUCAGCCCAACUUUAGAGAAGGUGAAGAAAAAGAAAAAAGAAUGCAAGGCAUUGGGGUAGAAUAUCCACAAGCACCUCAAGUACUUGAAUUGAAGUAGAAAAUAAAUUAUUCUGCUGUCUUGGAGGUCCCUUCCACUUGAAGUUGUCCGCAUAUGACUUGAUCUUUAACAAUGUUGUGUGUCGUUUCUUAACCGUAUAUUCCCAGCCUUGCUUUUCAGCGAAUGCUUUUGCAGCUUCUUCACUCUCAAAACUAAGUGCUGAAUCACCAACAUUGGCAUAUGGGUCCCCUGUGGAUGUCCACCCCAUCAAUGGAUUCUCCCAUUACUGGGUAGACAUGAAAUUGAUUUUCCAUCUGCCAACUUUUCCAGAGCCCUGUUGACUAGCAGUCCGAGCAGGUGAGAAAAUCACAACCCUUCUACGAAGAUGUUCAUCUGGAAUACCAGAGACCAUACCGAUCUCUCCGGGCUUGAUUUCGACCAACGCUUCUGACGCAAAUUGUCUCCAUAUCAGCGUCAGAGAAGAUCGCCUGGCGGCUUGCGAGGAAUGCGUCGCUAUUCGUCGGAGAGAGCUAGCCAUUUCCCUGAGAUGAUAGAAUCCGGCUGAAGUGAUGAAGCCAGAAAAAUUACUUUGCCCUUUGUAUUUUUAUUUUCACGGUGAUGUGGACAAGUAAGAAGAUAUUAAGAAAAGCAAAUUGAUACAACUAAAAAACAUGUAUUUGGAUUAUUCAUGCUUAUUCUUUAACUUUUUCUUUAGACUUGUACUCAUGAGUAAUGGAUACGUUGAUAUAUGACCUUCAUUAGGUAAAUAAUUUAGUAUUUGGGAAAAUACCGAAUACCAAAUUAUACUAAUGUCUCAUACCAAAUCCAAACCCGAAUACCAUAAUUCUAAAAUUUUACUCAUGAGUACCAUACCAAAUACCGAAUUACCAAAUACCAAAUAAUCAAAACUUUUGAUUCGAUUCGAUAAUUCGAUUUCGGUAUUUUAUGCCCAGCCCUACCAAACGGGCUCUAAGUCAAUCUUGAGAGUUGGAAAAUAUUGACAACAUAUAUAGUACUAGACUACUAAAGUGAUUAGCAUCAAACUGAAGAAUGCAAGUAAGAGUUUUAGAAAUGUCCAUCUUACUUUUCUUGUUAUUUUCCCCAUUGCUUAGCUUAGGACACAGACUAGAGGCGGGUUGUGAGGAUUCUUCGUGCAAGAAUGAUGGUCUCAUCAUUCAUUUCCCAUUCAGACUCAGUCAUCAACCAAAACAUUGUGGCAAUCCUGGCUUUGAACUACACUGUAACACUAAAAAGACACCAUCCUUGAGCUUCCUCGUCUGUUCACUUAGUUGUUGAAGAAAUUGAUUAUGUCUCACAGAAAAUUAACCUUUACGAUCCUGACGAAUGCAUAGCAGCCAAGCUACCAAAACUGAAUUUGUCACAAUCUAAUUUCAGAAAUGCUGACGAUCCCACAGUCCUAUUCAAUUGUUUUGCACCAUUGGCAUACUAUUAUGAUAUUCAUUUUGUUCCUUGUCUUGGUUCUUCUGGUUACAAAGUUUAUGCUGUUCGUACGACUCAAUUAUUGUAGGUGUAAUUUUAGGUACAGCGCUUGUUUGCAUUAUUGUCUUCUCACUUUAUCAGCUAUAUUUGACAAGUAGAAAUGGAAGAGAGAGUCGAGUUAGACUUGAAAAGUUUUUGGAUGACUACAAGGCCAUCAGACCAACACGAUAUUCAUAUGCUGAUAUUAAGAAGAUAACAGAUGAUUUUAAUGAAAAGUUAGGAGAAGGGAGUUAUGGAACUGUAUACAAAGGCAGACUUUCCAGUGAAAUCUAUGUUGCAGUAAAAGUCCUACGCGAUUCCAAGGGUAAAGGGGAAGAAUUUAUCAAUGAAAUUGGUACAAUUGGGAGAAUCCACCAUGUUAACGUGGUCCGCUUAGUUGGGUUUUGUGCUGAUGAAUUCAGACGAGCUCUGAUCUACGAAUACCUACCAAAUGAUUCACUUGAAAGGUUUAUUUUACCAGUGAGCUCAAGCCCGGGUAGUGUCUCACUCAUCAGCUGGAACAAGCUUCAACAUAUUGCUCUGGGUACUGCAAGAGGGAUUGAGUAUCUUCACCAGGGAUGUGAUCAGCAAAUCCUACAUUUCGAUAUCAAACCACAAAACAUCCUUUUAGACCACAACUUGAAUCCCAAAAUAUGUGAUUUUGGCCUAGCCAAACUGUGUUAUAAAGAAAAAAGUGUGGUCACUAUGACAGCUGCUAGGGGAACCAUUGGUUACAUUGCACCAGAAGUGUUAUCAAGAAACUUUGGUAAAGUUUCUCAUAAGUCUGAUAUUUAUAGCUUUGGGAUUCUCUUGUUAGAAAUGGUUGGUGGGAGGAUAAAGAUGGAUUCUAAGACGAAUAAUCACAGCAAAGUGAAUUCUUUGGAAUGGAUAUAUGGAUAUUUGGAGAAAGGGGAAGAAUUAAAGAUUCGGAUAGAGGAAGAAGGAGAUGGUACAAUUGUGAGAAAGUUAGCUAUUGUUGAACUUUGGUGCAUACUGUGGCAUCCAAUUGAUAGGCCUUCAAUAAAAGAAGUUACUCAGAUGCUGGAAGGAGAUGGGAGCCAUCUCAACUUGUACCCAAAUCCUUUUAUGGCUAAUAAUACGCCUAAGUUAAACGCAAGUCCUCUCAGUUAGGAUCUAGAUGUGAUAUUAGAAAUUGAAUAACACUUGAAAGUCAUUUGUAUAAUGAAAAUGAGAUAGUAUAAGAAUUGCAAAAGUAUUUUGUUUCAUAGUAGUGAUCAGCAAGCUUAAUGAUAAAUAUAUGUAGACUUAUUUCUCGAUUUGUAUGUAUUAGAUCCUCAUGAGAUGCACUAGUCCACCACGUACUAAGGGACUGGGUUGGUUUUACACUAAAAUGCAGUAAAAGAGACUAAAGUUUGAAAUAAAACAACAAGGAGUUUUACAUGGAAACCUCCUUGCUCAAGGGAGGAAAACCACGACCUGUCACACAGGAUGUCCAACUGCUUUUACUAUCUUCAAGCAACAAGUGAUUACAGACUCCAAACACAUAUUCAGAGAUUAAACUCUUAAUCUCACCACUCAUAAUAACUCUAUCACAGAAAGAGCCGGGUAAUACCUAUAUUGCCCACUAUAUUAACUAAAUCUAAUUAAUAGACACUUCAAUCACACUGAACUCUAACCAUGCUCAUUGUUAGAUUAAAUACUGGAGACACGAUUUGUUCCUUUAUAGAUUAGAAACGUAUCUUACAAGUUGAAUCACACACGACACAAGCUUUCUUAUGCAACAAUCAAAAGACACGGUUGAUAACUCUAUCAUGUCCAUUGAGGUUCUUGAAGGCAUGUAAUCUCCAAAGACAAAACACACCUUUUAAAAUUGUUGUGCUAGAAUGUCUUGACUAGGUUGUUUCAUGUCAAUGAGGAUAUAUUACCCUCUGAACAAAACAACCUAGUGUUCUCCCAUUGGUUGAGUACAUUGUUCUCUUUUCCCGUGCUCACCAACCACAUCAGUGUGACAACUUUUACAGUUGUUCACCAUUUUACUAGAAAUAUAUGCUCAACUUUGGGACCUGGUUCCAUGAUUUGUGAGUAUCAUCAAUUACACAGAGUUACAGCAGAUCCUUGCAUUAAAACCAUGUUAAUCGGAUGUCCACAAUGGGAAAGAAAUGAGUUGAAUGAUAAAUUGAGAAAUAGUCCUUCUCUCAAACACACUCAUCCAAAAGAAAAGUCGGUUAUUUCCUCAAACCUUUACCAAAUAUUAUAGAGAAGGCCAGUUUUUAUAAAGGCGAAUUUAGGAUGAAUAGUAUUAAGUACACAUGCAUUAUGUGGCUCAGCUGGACACAAUCUAAUGGAAGGAGCUUCCUGAGUUUUUCAUAGGUAAGCUCUUAUUCGAUUAGCAAGUUGCAUUAUGUGGCUCAGCUGGACACAAAUUAGCAUACCCUUAAUCUAUAUCGACUACAUUCGGGAAUCAUUUGGUUAGGAACACAGGAUGGAAAAUAGUUUAAAGGAAAAAGGAUUUAAUUUUUGUGCAUUAGAGUGUAAAAUUUUGCUUGUUUGUAUGUAUAAUCUGGCACUAAUUCUUCAAUUACUCCCUAGUUAGACUUUUCCAUGAUUACUCCCUCAUAUACUUAUUAUCUCCAAAUUCAACUCUUUUCGGACUGAGAGAUAAUUAUUAUUUUUGUUAUCCUAAAUAUCUGAAAUUUGUGGACUAGAUAGAUCAGUCUCUCAAGACUAGCUUGUAUACUAGAUGGAACUUAUGUGGAGAAGAAAAUUAUAGACCCCAAUAAAUGAUUGAUAGCUCAUUAGAUAGGUAAACGCCAAUGACUGAAAUUGAAGGAUAAGCCUUUGAAAAGUAUUAUCAACGUCUUUUAAAGGUUUUCGCAUGCUCCAUAAGAAAAAUAUUCUCUUUGCAAUCGCAGAACCUUAAUGUCACACUCACAUAAUGAAGCUCAUUUCCCUUAAGCCUGUUUGGAAGUCAUCCUGCUAAUUCGAUUUGGUGUAUUUAAGCGUAAUUAUAUUGUCUAACAUGUUUGGUUGACCAUGUAAUUACUUGGUCAACAACUAAUUUGAUGUAAUUGGCAAAGAGUAAUUAUACUCUCCAAUUCUCAGUGGAUUGUGGUAAAUUAAAUGAUAUAAUUACAUAUGGAUCACUUUUUAUUUUUAUUUUUUUUGUUAUAAUUUAUUUUUAGUUUUAUCAUUUUAAAUUCUUUUUUAUUUUAUUAUUUUAAAUAUAUAUUUUUUAUUUUUUAUUGUUGAUGUUUCAUUUCCUUCUCAUUAUCAACCUAACAUUUCCAUCUCCUUCAUAAAUAAAUAGGUAAAUGUCAAAGUGUUUCUCUUGAGGGCCCUUGAUCAAAUUGCAACUUUCUCAUCAACGACCAAACACAAGUCCUCCAUUGACUUGAAGUUUCCAAUUGUUGAUGAAAAUUCCACAUAGCUUCAAAUUAGCUAGCUAGUUUAAUUGCAUUUACUCAUACAUAAUAAUAUUGAAGGGUGUGUUUGGUAUAUUAGAAAACAUUGAAGGUGUAUUUGGUAGGGAGGAAAAUAUUUUCCAACUUUCUCAUGUUUGGUUGACUUAAAUGUUUUGAAAAAUGUUUUUCAAAUCAACUUAUUUUCCUUAAAAUGUUAAUAAUAUUUUUUUAAUAAAAAUCAAUUUAUUUUGUCCCUAUCCUUGCCCCUCACCCCAACCAAAAAAAAUCAACAACUUAAAAUUAAAAAAUUUUGACUUUUUUUACCCCGUUCAACCUCUGACUAUCUCUACCCCGCCCCAACAAAAAUAAAUUGUGAAAGUUUUUUUUGAAAAAAAAUGUAAAAUUUUCAAAAUUUCAUUUUCUUUAACCCACACCUACCCCAACCCCCUACCACCCCCUCCAAAAAAAUACUAAUUUAAAGUUUAUUUUUAAAAAUUAUUUUCAAUUUUCAACUUUUAUUUUUUUACCCACCAAACAUGAAAAAACAAGUUAGAAACUAGCUUGUUUUCCAAUAAAACAUUUUCUAGGAAAAUAUUUUCCUUCAUAUAUCACAUCAUUCAUCAUAUCAUGAUAUCAUCAUCAUAUAUUACUAAAAAUGGGAACAAAAAACGUUGUAAGUUGAAAUACCAUUUUAACCCUACACUAAAUUAAAAUAUUAUAAAUAUUUAGUUAAUUACAUGUUGAAAUUCCACUGUUAGUAGUGUUUCACUAAAAUAUUAUUUGUAUUUGUUUUAAAUAAAUGUUUUCCUUCAUAACUUAUAUCUAAUUACCUAUUCAAUUGUCAUUCUUAAUAUCCAUAACUUUCAUGUUUUUCAUAUUCAUAACCUUCAAAUGUUUAAUUUAAAACUUUAAGAUGUCUUGUAGUAUUCCUCUAUUUUUAUCUAUAUAAAUUCAUCUUUUUUGUUUCAUGAAGCUCACACCAAAGAUAUCCUUUUUAUUUUAAGGUUAAAGUAGUGAAGCCAUCAACAUCUAAUAAAGUAUAUGGUAUAUCUACCUUAUAAGUUUUAUUAUAUAUUACUUUACGAAAAUGAAAUAAUUUUUCUAUUUGAUUUGUGGUUUAGUUUGACUUGAUGGAGAAGACUUCUGAAUUUUGAUUGGAUAUGAGAGAAGGCAUGUCGAUAAAAACUCCGAAAAUUAUGUACCGAUUUUGUAUUUCUUUUUCCAUUUAUGUAUUAUUAUGAUUAAAGUCUUAAAAAGAAUGUGUAUGUUAUUUUUUUCUUCUAUGUUUAUUUUUUUUUUCUAUAUUUUCUCUCUAUUAGUCUUCUUUAAUUUAGUUUUCUAUAAUAAAAAUUAUUGUCAUAACAUGUUCAUUGAAUUUUAAUCUUUCUAAUGAAUUUAUAAAAUAUUGUAUGGGACACACGUGUCCAGAAACUAGUAUGUAUAUAUAUAUACCAAACAUUCCCGAAGUCUCAAUUCUUUUCUUCUCUUGGAAAUAGUUGGAAAGAAUAGAAUCAAGACAGUACAAAUGUAUUUGUGUAGGGGAACUAUUCUGCUUAAAUAUUUUCCAUUAAUCCUUUUAAUCAUCUUUCUGCAAACAUGCAAUGCUAGGAAGAGCAAAUCCUACUACUGUCCUUCUGCUUGUGGCCAUAUCCGUAACAUAAGCUACCCUUUUCGCUUAAACACUGAUCCAGAACAUUGCGGAUAUGGUCUAGCAUUUGAGUUAGCUUGUGAAAGUAACCAAACAGUUAUAUGGUUAUUCUCCAAGAAGUUUUACGUUCAAGCCAUCAACUAUAAUAAUGAGACAAUUCACCUGGUAGAUCCAACUUUACAAACACAAGAUGAUCUAUGCUCUUUCAAACCUCAGCAUAACUUGUUCAACAAAGCCAAUACAAUCUUCCACUCAUACUAUGUAGCAGAUCCCAUUUUCAUGAUCAACUGUCCAUUUGCUGUUAAUAAUUAUUCGACAUUUGUGGAAAUUAUUGGUCUGCAAAUUAAGCAGACACACUUAUUUAAAGAUUGGAGUUAUAGAUGCCUCUGCACUCACCGAUGGAUGCAGAGUGGAAUUUAUAGGCUGGACCUCAUGGCCUAAUAUUAUUUAUACAGAGAACAACAAUUCCCUUUCUGAUUUUCAUCAAGCCAUCCUCUACGGAUUUGAGCUUCGUUAUUAUCUGCGGAGUUCUCCACAAAGGAUAAGUAAGGUCUUCAAUUACAUAUGCUCUGUUCCUUAAUGAACAUUCUUUUCCAUCCUAACAAAUUAGGAAAAACAACGGAUUCACUCACUACAAUUUUAUUUCUUCAUGUCUUUGUAGGUUUUAUUGAAUAUGUUCUCGGUGAGGACUCAAAACUUUUCUCUACAUGUACUUUCAAUUCUCCAUUCACUCACUAUAUAAGCUUCUUGUUAAACAUUUAUUUUCCAUCCUUUAUCCGUAAGAAAUUAGGAAAACAAUGGAUUCACUCACUACAAUUUAAUUUCUUCAUGUCUUUUUAGGUGUUCUUCAAUGGAUUCACUGUGAGAACUCAAACUUUUGUCUACAUAUACUUUUAAUUCUCCAUUGACAUCUCAUUCUAAAUUUUUUGCACUUUAAUCUAACCAGGGACCAGUCUAGUGCUACUUCAGCUUAUCUUGAGUAAGCUCCUAUAUAUCCCUUUAUUUGGCUGGACACAGAUCACAUUCCAUUGAUCUUAAUUUUUUGUGAAAAAUAUACACAGUUGAGGAGUCCAACACAAAAAUUCUAAAAUAGAAUAAUUCAAAAUAUAUUACUGUUGGUAAAGUUAUAAAUAGCAAUCUGAAUUUGUGAAAAUCAAAAUUUUUUACAUCUCUAUGGUUCGUUAUAACUUCUCAAACGUGCAGUGCAUUUGGGAGCAAAAUUUGUAAUAGGCCUUCCGCUGGUAAUUGCAUUUCUGGUGUACAAAUUCAAAAGGAGGCAUUUGUCAAUGUACGAUACGAUUGAAGGCUUUCUGCAAACACAAAAUAAUUUCAUGCCAAUCAGAUAUAAUUACUCUCACAUAAAGAGAAUGACCAGAGGAUUCAAAGAGAAAUUAGGUGAGGGAGGUUACGGCAGUGUAUACAAAGGAAAACUUCGAAGUGGAAGGGAUGUAGCAGUGAAGAUGUUGAGCAAGCCUAAAGCUGGUGGGCAAGAUUUCAUGAAUGAAGUAGCUACCAUUGGAAGGAUUCAUCAUGUCAAUGUGGUUGGACUCGUUGGAUAUUGUGUUGAGGGAACAAAGCGUGCUCUUUUAUACGACUUCAUGCCCAAUGGAUCACUUGACAAGUAUAUCAGCACC